rnacentral:lncRNA from 1 species
UAUUUUCAUCUAUAUUUAAUACUCUAUGCAUACGUCUAAAGAUUUGAUGUGACGGGAAAUCUAAAAAAUUUUGCAAAAUUUUUUACGAACUAAACAAUCAGUUGUCGUUGAUCAUUCCAUAUCGUGCACGCAUGACGCAGCACAUGCUUGUACCGGUUCCCUCGGUUUCUCCGCAAUUGGAAGCAUUCCUCCUGCCGUUCAUGACGUUUGGUAGGGGAUCCGUGAGUCGAGCCGGCGUGUGGCCUGCUGGCGGCCUCGUCGAUGCGCCGGCCGCACUCGCAGCAUUCAAUUGGGGCAAGGCGGCGGCGCGUCAUGAACGGCAGGAAAUGUUCGGUGGGUUCGGUUGGGUUGGGCAGGAAUUUGUCAGCGAAACUGGAGUACUGUACUGCAGGCUUCUCUUGUCUUCACUGCUGGAGUAGUAAGUACUACUGUCGAAUUAAUUACAGGGCUUGUGUCUGUUUUAAUUUGGUGGGUCAGCACUUGCCUCGUUUUUUGCAAGAUGUUUAGGCCCGCAUUGCCACUGGUUACUGAAGACUGUGCGGCCUUGGGUUCGUCUUCGCCACGGGAGAAACCGGAACUGAUCUCAGGAUUAUGGCCUUGUUUAGUUCCAAAAAUUUUUGCAAAAUCUACACCGUAGCAUUUUCGUUUGUAUUUGACAAUCAUUAUCUAAUCAUGGACUGACUAGACUCAAAAAAUUCGUCUCCUCAAUUCCGACCAAACUGUGCAAUUAGUUUUUAUUUUCGUCUAUAUUUAAUACUCUAUGCAUGUGUCUAAAGAUUCGAUGUGACGGGAAAUCUGAAAAAUUUUACAAAAUUUUCUGGAAACUAAACAAGGCCCUAUGUAUACCACCGUACUACGUGUGUUCCAUUCCGUCCUGGGCCGUUCCGGCGUUCCCAAAAAAGAGGUCGCACGCAGCAAACCUGCGGGAUGGAACCAGCACGGCCGGCCCAACAGGUGUACCGUGUAGUACGUUAACAGCGGCGUUGACGGAUCGAGUUUUGUGGAACGAAUUGCUGGACAGGACAGCACAGCACACCUAUGACGGAUCCGGAUCCGGAAGGCUGAUUUGAGAAUUCCAUGACGGAUCUUCACCUGUGGCUCGAGCGGCUCGACACGUGGGCUAGCUGGAACUGGAAUGGACUGCACGAGCGGACCCAGGCCACCAAGAUUUCACUGCCAUCUGUAGGUCUUCAUUGGUUUGGCUGAUAAACCACGAUAUACUAUUAGCUGAUUUGUUGGGAAAGAAAAACUUUAUUAAAUAGCUAAUAGAUUCGGCUGAGAAGCUCAAACGAACAACUGCUACUACUAGUUCUCAAAGAUGCUGCUGGCAGCGGGCUAGCGACCGAAAGCAGACAUGGCCCAUGGUAGCUGUAGCGCCCGCGCACCAGGAAAUCAGCGAGUGAUUCUCUAUGGUCUAUGGACCACCAUGCAUUUUCUCCACAAACUUAUCCAGACAACUUCUCAGGAGUUUUUUUUCUCCAUGAAAUGUCGCCAUGCCAACUUCUUUGGAAAAACUUCUGUUUGUGAGAAUUUUUACAUGGAACCUAUAGGUUUUUGGUUAUUCAACUACCGGGGAAAAUACUUUUUGGACACUUUUAUACAUCUAAGUUUUCAGGUGUUCAAACAUGCCUGAAAAAAGUCAUUCAAAUAUAAGUUUUCAGAACUAUGCCUUUUUGAUGAACCUAGGAUAGUUUAAUUCAGUAGUUGCUUAUGAUGAAAAUUGUCUUUUUUUUUUUUUGUUGAGCUUCCGAUACAUCAUGGAUGAUCACGUCUAUGGCUAAGUAUUCUUUAGACAAGUAUAUAUUUCUUAACUAAAAUGUUCUGACAUAUCAAUAUAGAUAGUAUAAUUGUAAGCACUCACUGUUUUUUAAACAUUGGUAAACAAAUAUAUUUCUCUGGUAAGAAAAAUCCAACAUAUAUUGAGCAGAAAAGGAGGUUAGUAUAUACCUAAGAUGGCAUUGCCCUACCUAGUCAUUGAGAUUUUUCUAUUGACUAAUUAGUGAACAGCACACUUAGAUAUUAAUAUAUUUUUUAUGGUAGCACCAUUAGCCUCUCAAUAUUUCACUUCAAGGUCUACCACCGAUAUUUGACGAUUUGGUGCAUGUUUAAAUAAACUAUUUAUGCAUAACAACACAAAAUUUAUCAGCAGUAGGUAUUAAACAUAAAUUUGUAAUACUUACGUGUUAUAUGACUAUAUAUCAUGCAUGAGCAUGGAUUAAUAUAAACAAGCUUAUAUAUUUUUUUCAAAAAAGUUUUAUAACUAUUUCAUAUCGUAUUGAAAGGUUUUAGAACGAUUAGUAAACUUUUUUGUUCAUGCAUGGCAAGUGGCAGCAAAUAAUUAGGAUGAAACGAAAAUAAAAGGAAUGAAUAUGUGCAAGAGAAAAAUAUCACAAACAAAAAGUGAGUGGGCACGUCCGCGAGUCGCGACAACGGGCAUAGCGCUAGCAGCGGAGCAAUCUCGAAUCCCAGCACGCCUCCUCGGCUCCUCUUUUCCACAAAAUUGUAUUGUAAAAUUUUAAAAAAAUAAAAUUAACUAAAUUUAUAUAAAGCGAUACCAAAUCCAAGUUUUUAUGUUACUAAAUUUAUGUUACUAGCUUCCCCACGCUUUGGCAUUCUACCGUUACAUAAUACAAAAAUAAAUAACCACUGUCAAGACUAAAUAUAUUUAGGGUUGUAAAAUACAAGUAAUAUAUACCAAAUCAAUACGUAAAAAAUAAGGAGGAAACUGAGAUUACCUUGCUAGCAAAGAUCUACGGAUCAAAUCCAAAUUUUUAAGGCUAAAUUUAUAGAUUAGUAGAGAUUCGGCAGGUAGAGGAGAGCAAGGAAGUAUAACAAUAAGAUCACGGUCGGAUAGAGAAGCUGAGGGAUGAUUUUUAAAUUAGAGCUCGGAGUCACAGAUCUUGGCUCCGAGCUCGACGCCAAGAUCUGUGGCUCCGAGGUACCAGCCACGUCAUCGGCACAUAUGCUGCCACUUUAUACGCGAGUAACCACCUCAGAGCCAAGAUUUGUGGCGCCGAGAUGUGUAAACUCGGAGCCACGAGUCCUGCGCGCUGACCUACUGGGUCCAAAUAUGAGUUUAAGUUUCAGAGGGUUUAAAUAUGAAUUUUUUUCAAAACAAAGGCUAAAAAGUAAAAAAAAAAUUAUGCAUCGCCACUUUCUGAGCCCAUCGCACGACAGAAACGGAGGCCCAAAGUAUACACGAUGUGGGCCGAAGCCUGCCUGUGUUGUUGCUUUGGUUUCGUUACAGGAACAUCGUACCGAAGUGGUCUUUUUUUUUCCGAACCCAAAAUCCAGGCUUUCAGGCAGCACAGCACAACUGCACAAAGUAUGAGGUCUGUUUUUUUUUUCUUUCUUUUGAUUUUGAUGAGAUGACGAUAAUUGAGCUCUCUGGACGGGCCCUAGCAUGUAGCAUUCCGUUCCAAAAAUAGAAGUAAUUAUAGAUUAGGCUAAGUAAACUUUUCUUAAAUAUAACUAAGUUCAUAUAAAAUAGUAUGAAAUUAGGUUAAUAUAUUUAAUAAUAAAUCUAACGAUAUUCGAUUUCUUAGCAUAGAUUUAGGUCCAGUCAUCUUUGAGACUGACUUGCUUAGAUCAACUCUAACGAUUUUGCUUUUUUUUUUGGCAAAAUACGGAGUUUGCCAACUCACAAAUGAAUAUGACAAAGCUAAAAAGAGUUUAUCUUCAACCGUUCUUCAUAAUUCUUUUCUAAAGAAAUAGAAUUAUGGACCCACACGUUGUCCAUGUCUUUUUUCCUCGCACGCCGCUGCCAGUUCGUGUGGUUUUUUUCCUUGAUCGUCGCCAGGUCUUGGCUAUUUUCCGUCGCCGCCAUCCGCGCGAUAUUGCUAGCGAUUGCAUCUAGCCGACCACUUGGAUGGUGGGCGAUGGCGAUACCACAGACCAAUCGAGCGGGAGAAGGAGUAGGCGCGCGGGAGAAGGAUACACGCGCAAAAACACCAAUGCCAGGCCUCGCAGACUUUUGCAUAUAUGCACAGUUUGACCCUCCAUUUGUCAAGUUGCCAAAUUUGUCAAUGCUAAUUGCCAAACCGUUGGAGAGUAACUUUUGGACUUUUUCCAAAAAAAAACAAGAAUGCCUAACUUAAUUGCAAAACCGUUAGAGUUGCUCUUAGGAAAACAUGACUCUUUCUCAACGCGCGCUAGGACAAAUAGCUGCAACACAUGCCUACCCCGCUCGGCUUCCUCCCCUGUGUUACUGUUCAUCUUCCAUAGCGAGCCACUGCCCCACUCGCCCCACCUCGACCACUGCCUAGGCCACCGGAGACCUCGUCGUUGACCACCCCGCCCACCUCCUAACCCCCGCUAGACGAGCCCGCCCUCCCCUAACUUUGUCGAACACUCGCCCUCGCCGCCUAUCCCGCCCAUCCGGUUGUCCUGCCACCGAGCAUGGCAGCACCGCCGGCCAACCCACCACCACCUCUGUGUCGUGGCCACCGCUAGGCCGGCCGACCAAAAUCUAUAGCUAAGGAGAGAGAGAUUCCUAACCCUAACCCUAACCUCUGCCCUCGUUGGCAGCGCUGCUGCCACCUCAUCCACCGCUGUCGACCGCUCCGCCCACCGCUCGCCCCUGCCCCCGUCCCCGUCCCUGCCCCGCCCCAUUCUUCGUUUUUGGUGUGCGGGGGCGUCGUGUGCGCCGAAUAGUGAUUGUAUCAGGAAAAAGCUAUACAUUUUGGCCUUGUUAGUUUGCAAAAUUUUUUGGCUCUGACUACUGUAGCACUUUUAUUUGUAUUUGACAAUUAUUGUUCAAUUACGGACUAACUAGGCUCAAAAGAUUCGUUUUGCAAACUACAGGCAAACUGUAUAAUUAGUUUUUAUUUUUGUCUAUAUUUAAUGCUCUAUGUACAUGUCUAAAGAUUUGAUGUGAUAGAAAAUCUUAAAAAAAAAUUUGGAAACUAAACCAUGCGUUUGUUUUUUGAAGGGUGAGGGAGAGCACUAGAGUAGCUCAGAUGUCACUCGCAUGCACGAGCGGGGCGACGCACAGUUGACAGUUCUUCUCGACAGCCCAUGCAUGCAUGCACGAAGGUCAAGGGCUAACUAUAUAGAGGUCCUGAACCUGAACAUAUAGCCGGGCUGAAAAGGGCAGCAUGGGCCUAGCUACCCAUAUGGUCGACCAAUCGAGCUACAGUCCUAGAGAGGUAGACGACACCAGCCGGAGCAUUAACCACGAAAGGUCCCCAGAUCAAGCGCUUAAGAGUUAGGACAAGAUGACGGGUAGCCCGGUUAGGAGGACUGGCAAUGCAUGCAACAUUACCACUUUAUGCAUCGAGUCUCGGGUGCCGUCGUGUCGAUCUCAUCUGCUGGGAGGAUUUGCCGCUCGGCCUGCAACGAUAUGGGUACAGAGAUCUCUAUACCACACUGUUUACUGGAGGCGUCUAAAAAUGCCUUUAAAAGUCAUGAAAAUGCCACGUACUCCACAUGGCACAUGCAUGGCGAGCUACCUGCAACCUGCGCCACGGACCUGCUGCGUCCUGUGCCACGCACUGUUCAUCUUGUCAGAAGAUCGAAUCAUGCAUGCAGUAUGCAGACGUGCCGAUCCGGCCGGGUCAAAAGUCAACAACUAACGACGGUGUGCUUGCAGUGCUCACCUGUCUCUCGUUGAUUAGAACCAAGUUGGAGCAUUAGCUUGUGGUCACAGACCAUACAGCCUAGCAAAACUCAGCUGUUGAGAUCGAUCUUAAGAGAUUCCGAUACGAAAUGCAGAUAUAUUUUUUUACGAUUUCUGCGUUAGCUAAUCUUGCUGCUUCCUGUGCGAUAUCUGAAACUCUGUCGCAGUUUAUUAAGGGGUGUGUUUCAACGGUUAUUAUUUCUUUUUUUUUUGAACGCAACGGUAUUAAUUUCUUCCACGGUCACAUAUGCUUGCAGUUACUGCAACGUACGUACGGUAAGACAGACAGACUGAGCUAGCUAGUACGUCUGGAUUAACAGUGACUAGCUAUGCAUCGUCAGCAUGCCGACAUGACGACACACAGCUCUCCGCAGCUGAAACACGUAGAAUAAUUGAACAUAUAACAUAUAAUCACCCGAACUCAUUCGCUUGGCUGAUAAAAUAUAGCUGAAAAUACUAUUUACUGAUUUUUUUAUAAAAAAAAUUACUAAAUAAAUAAUAAAUUCAACAGAUAAUCUCAAACGAAACCAGCAACCUACGUCACAGAAAGUAGUAGAUCCCAGCUGAAAAGCCGUACGUACGUCACAGAAAGAGAACGUACGUACAUCCGCACAUGCCCGCACGUACAUCCGUACUGUCUAGCUCCUUUCGCCUCGCUCCGGCUACGGAGAACGAAACAGAUGCCAGAUGCGUGAGGUGAGGUGAGGGAGUUCAAUUGCAAAGGUGACAUGUCACAAAAGGUGGGAAACCAACCAACCCCUGCAAAAAAAAAGCUGCCUAGCUCGCUUUCUUGCAGCACCGGCACGCCGGCGGCACAAGGUCGUGGAUCCGCGUAGCAGCCGCGGGACAAACGGACGGACCACCCCGGCCACCACCAGGUCACCACCCUACCCGGAAAGCAGCUGCUCGAUCGAUCAAGCUAGCUAACUGCUCCAUCAUCCCCUAAAUUAAAUUAAGCCGUGGUCCAAGUCCUAACGCAACGCACGCAUCGUAUCUGUACGCGUCCCGCGCGCGCAGCACAUGGCGCCAGCCAUCGGCGAGACGGCGAGCAGCGCGCGACGACGAUCCCUCUGGCAGUCUGUCUGACGCCGCCGCACAUGCGCUGCCGGGUCCCUGCUCUACAGGCGCUAGACCGGCCCUGUCCUGGCGCUACAUACGCCGUCGUCGAGGCUCCAGGCUGCUCGCCGCGCGCGGGGCAAACCAGCUUGUCCAAGGCCUUGUUUAGUUUCAAAAAAUUUUGUGAAAUUGACAUUUUUCGUUUGUAUUUGACAAAUAUUGUCCAAUCAUGGACUAACUAGGCUCAAAAGAUUCGUCUCGUCAAUUCCGACUAAACUGUGUAAUUAGUUUUUAUUUUCGUCUAUAUUUAAUACUUCAUGCAUGCGUCUAAAAAUUUGAUGUGAUGGAGAAUCUGAAAAAUUUUGCAAAAUCUUUUGAGAACUAAACAAGGCCCAAAUCUGGUCCAAAUACAUGCACGGCACGCACAGUCCAUGUCCAGCGUCCAUGCAUGCACGCAUGUUCGUUCUGCCGUGAAACAACGAGGCAGCGGUGCGCGCGCGCGGAAAGUGACGGGAACCGGGACAAGGUCUCCGAGCACCGAGCGCGCCUGCGGGUUCGUGACCGGACACGGGCAUAUUUGCACGCGCGCGCGGAUUUCCACUGCAUGCAUGCACUAACGCGAUAUCCCUCCUCUCGGACGCGUGCACGGUACGUUGCAGGCAGGGCAGGCAGGAAUCGUCGCAUGCAUGUGUAAUAAUGUAUCCCGCCUCCUCCAGGUUCGUUCUUUGGCUCAGGACCGUGUGCUGAAGUUAGGCCAUUUCGGGCUGGGCAGCUGGUGGACUGAACAAAAACAACCAAUAGUUUUGGGCAACGGCACUUUGUGUGUACUUAGAUUCCACUACAAGUGCAGUACAGCAGGGGCUAUAAAUAUCAUCAUGUGUCGGUUUGUUACCUCUGAUGAUGAUUUGGACAACACAGAUUAGUUAAACAUGGUGUGCAUCAUUACCAAACACACCGGAUUUGAUCUUCCAUUACGUAGAUGAUUAGAAAGUAAAAGAGUAAGAAGGGGGUUCUGCAGCUGCCUGUUAGUUAUUUGCUGCUCUCCAGCUAGGCCAUCUUCUUGGAUUCGGCAUGUGAGGAGAAGUGGAGAACAGAGGAAGGCUGGAGCCUGCAGGUCUAAGAUCUUCUUCAUACUGAUUACAUAGUCUGCGCUGUCUGGCCAAAUUAUGGGGGUCAAUGAUUGGUAUUUGAUGCAUGUUACCUUCGAGAUGACUAAAAAAGUUUAAAUUUAGAAGAUAGAGUUUGUGUAUAAUGCUCUUUUAUAUACUCUGUUUGUUAAAACGAUCAAAUAGACAUCUAAAUUCAAGCUGAGAGAGGACUUUAACCUAGUUGGUUGGAUGUGUGACCACACUUCCGACCCAAUUAGUUGAGGUAGACUCACUUCCUACAAACACGUGUACUAACGUUAGGAAUAGAAAAGUUUUUUUUUUGAAAGUGCUCUUAUUUGGGCCUUGUUUAGUUCCAAAAAUUUUGCAAAAUAUGAAUAGUACCCACUUUUGUUUGUAUUUGACAAAUAUUAUUCAAUUAUGUACUAACUAGACUCAAAAAAUUCGUCUCGUCAAUUUCGACCAAACUGUGCAGUUAAUUUUUAUUUUCGUCUAUAUUUAAUACUUCAUGCAUGCGUCUAAAGAUUUGAUGCGAUGGAAAAUCUGAAAAAAUUUGCAAAAUAUUUUGGGAACUAAACAAGGCCCAACGUGGGUCUCAACCCGAUGUCGUAGGUUUAAAUCCUACAGAGUGUGAUUCCAUAUAUUAAAAAACAAAGUAGCUAGAAUUAUAAAACAAUUUAUAUAGAAAGAAGUGCUAGUUAUUAUGAUUUUUUACACAUUCAAUGUUCACGGGAAAACUAGGUUAUAGAUCAAAUUCUGUAUAGCAUCAACGGAAGGGGGGGGGGAGUAAGUGAUACUCCAUCAAUUUCUUCGCUACUACAAAACGGAUGUUGAAAGACAAUCUCUAGAUUAACAGAGCCAGGCAGCAAGAGAGACAUCUAUAAAAAUGGUGAGACAUGCCAUAUGGAAGUCGUUUGCCUUUGUUAAUAUACAAUUAUCCGAGAAAUGCCAUACGGGGUAUAAGUUGCUAGACGAUCACACGAACCAUGAGGACAUGAAUAUAACAAAUUGAAAAUGAGAGGUUGCAACAUAUGUCUACGGUUGCAUGUUAGUGUACCAUGAAAGGAAUUCCAUAGUGUACCCACAAAAAUAUCAAAAAACAAUGAUUAUGAUCAAAUUUUCACCAUAUUCACACUCAUACAGUAAAAUUUUAUGCACUCACAAGGCAAACACACCCAUCUCGUAUUUGCUCUAGCUCCGCCACUGCUCGCAGCUACCUCGAGCACCAUUGCGGCCUUGGGAGGAAAAAAGAAAUAUCAUGUUAAGUGUGAGUGAAUGUGAUAAAUUUUGUUUCAUCCCCACAACUUGAGACAAAUCGGUUGAGCGGGCGGGUUCUAUACGAAAAUUCUAGUAGAUGAUAAUGGUAGCUAUGGAAAACUGCUUGGUUCAAGAUCGAGAGUGCACCUUUAUUUAGAAUAAAGGUAGUAAUUCAAUUAUUUCGAUACCGAGAGCAUCCGUAGUUUGGAGUUGGUUCAUGCAGGGACGGUUUCCUUAUGUGUUACAGUGUUAUAGGUGUUAGCAUGUCUGUCUCGUAAUGUGGAAGAAAAGCUACAAAGAAAAAGAAAAAAAAGAUCCCGCACCUAUACCAAAUCCUUCAAGCUAUGAAUUACAUGAACAUAUUGUAUUAUUUUUUUAUAUCGAAUACCAUGUCUCGGGCUGGCUCCACCAGUGGCGGAACCAGGAGGGUUAGCAUAGGCAGUGACUCUCUAAGUCCAGUCGCUCCUUUAAAUACUUAUGUAAAUAUUAAUAUUUAUAAUAAAAGAAAUAUCAAUUUCACUCUUUUUUUCAAAAAUAAUGAUUUUGGUAAAAAAUAGUGUAAUAUUUUUUUUUAAAAAAAAUUCUUCAAAUAUAUAUUAUGUAUAUUUUAUUACAAUAAAAAAUACUGUCAUAUUUAUUCAAUCCCUUGAUCGAACUCGCUGGUUCCUGUCACUGUCCGCCACUGCCCCGUGACAUGCAUGCACGAGUGGUUUCGUGAGGCAGGCGCACGCAUCGGCGCGGGACGACGCAGCACCAGCUAGCACGGCACCACCGUUGCCGACGUCGCUUCCGUCCCGUCCCCGUACGUCGUCCAACGCCGCGCGCGGGGCGUGCGGGAGCCGCAAUAAACAGUACUACCGCACCACCGGCAGCAGCGCCGCCAUGCGUUCGCGUGUUCCGGUAUGCGCACGGGACGGCAGCCGGCACGCCAUGCAUGGGCCCAUGAUGGCGUGUGUUGAUGACGAGGCGGGCGCAGACGCCCGGUGCACGUUGACAUGGGAAGUCCACGAGGAGCGGCACGAGCCCGGGCGCGCCGUACGGAGACUCGGAGAGGGAGACGAGCGAGCGCAGUGACUGACGCGCUGGUGCUCGUGCUCGCACCGCUCACCUGCUGAUCCGUGGCGUGGGGCGGAUCCAGUCCAAAGGAGAGAUUACCUUUCGUUGUACUGCACUGCAUCACAGCAUGAUCAGUGCAUCUGAAGCUAGCAAGUGUACUACCUGUAGACUGUAGUAUCUUGCAUCGGGUGAAUCAAGGCAGCACACACUCAGGUACCGAGUCAUGCAUGUUAGUGCCGCAACCGCGCAAACGCAUAAUUUCAGUCGGGAAAAUGCUCAAAACCAUCCAUCACACAGUUGCGAGAUGACGGUCUUGCCCUCGUCCAUGUCGCAUCUGCAACGACGAGUAAAUAGAUGUAACCGGUACCGGCCAGACAGACGAAACGAACUCGCCACGCCUGUGACAUGAGCGCGACCGAUCGACACGCCGCAUCCGCCACGCCCGUUCCGUGCGCCGCUAGACCACGACGCUGCUGCUGCCCCACCCCUCACGCUUUCGCCGUGCCGCCCGUGUGACUCGCCCGCACGCGACCACGACACGCACGCGUCGCUCUCCCUGCCCCUCGCACCGGCACGAGCCAACAAAACCGCCCGUCGCCGUCCGCGCCCCCUCCUCGGCGCGGCACCGGCCCGACACGCCCGCACAAGCGCCCGGCACCACCCCCACACCCGUCGCCGUCGCGGUCGCGGCCGUCCUCCCGGGCCCCGGCGCCCGGCCGGCGGCGGUGCCCGCCGCUCGCGUACGUGGGGCGGAAGCGGAAGCUACCAGCCACCACGGCGCCACUAGCCGUAUUUUUUAACCACCGGAGUCCGGAGGCCGCCACUGCCGCCUGCCGCUGCGCGCGGCACGCCAGCGCCCACCUGCUGGCUUCCCCCCCUCGCGCGCGCCGCGGCCAUUUCUUUACUCCACCCCUGCCGCUGCUGCCGCCGCGGCACAGCGCCAGCCCCGCCCCCACCACCCGGUUCCGCGCCCCGCGGCCCUCGUCGCGUCCCCCAUUUUUUUAAACCCCGCUUGUCUCCCUCCUCCGCCUUCUCUCCCUCCCCUCCCCGUUGCUUCCCAGUGCCAACUCGCGCAGCUCCCCCCAUCCCACGCGCGCUCGCUCGACCGACCACCUCCGCGCCUCGGCCGACGGCGUGUUGAGACCGCCGGGAGUAACGCGCAGGCCUGGCUCGCGAGAGGCGGCGGAAGCUUCAGAGAGCGCCGUGGAUGAGCUGGCGCCUUGGCACGGCGGCUCGUGUGCUGGUGCGCGGCGAAGAUUCAUUGGCCGGAUUCUCACGGCGCCUGAGUUUAUUAGGCCUUGCUCCUCCGCUGAUCCGAGUUUUGUACCCCGAAUUGCCUCGCGCUCUCACUUUCGUCGAAAAGCAGGGCGUCGGACACUAGCAGUUCGUAAAAGGUGGUGGUGGUGGUGGUAGGAGAAGGUGGGGGUGAAUAUUCGCGUAUCCUGUCGUGGGAUUUGGUUCAGGAUCUCGGCGGGAUGAAGGAUCAGGGAUCGGGCGGCGUCACUCCCAGCCCCGCCGAAGGUGAGGUUUUCCUUGCUUUGCUUGCUUGCUGCAGUCCAAUUUCUCAUGGAUUUCAGCGCCACCUUUACAUUGCUCAAUUCACAACAUCUUGUGAUCUUUCCAUGAUUCAUGAUCGUCACAGUCGAGCUGUCCACCUGUCUGUAAUCGCAGUUAUUACUCCUUGUUGCUGCUGUUUGCUUGUGGUUAAUUGCGAGGAAUUUGAUUCAUGAUUCUUCUUUACUUGAUCUGGGAUGCAGUGUAAUAAUUGGCUCCUUUUUUUUUAUUUGAAAAACCAGGGGAAAAGAAACCCAUCAACUCGGAGUUGUGGCAUGCUUGUGCCGGGCCCCUGGUGUCGUUGCCCCCGGUGGGUAGUCUCGUCGUGUACUUCCCGCAGGGCCAUAGCGAGCAGGUGCAGUAUUUAUCAGUGUGUAGGAGGAAUGGAGUUGAUUCAGGGAAUAUUUUCUGAAAAUUUUCUUGUUUUGGUAAUUCUGUAUCAGGUUGCUGCUUCAAUGCAUAAGGAGCUGGACACCAUCCCCAGCUACCCAUCUCUGCCUUCUAAGUUGAUCUGCAAGCUCUUAAGUCUCACCUUACAUGUAUGUCAAUGCUAGUUUUAUCCUCUCGUGCUGCAUCUAGUUUUAUCCUCUUGUGCUGCAUCUUAUUUUUUAAACCACCCUUACCCGGUUCUUCGAGACAGCCUGGGAGGUGAGCAGUAUGUGUUUUACUAAUUGGGCACACCAAACAUAUUUCUUGUGCAGGCAGAUUCUGAAACCGAUGAAGUUUAUGCCCAGAUGACGCUUCAGCCUGUGAACAAAGUAUGUCAGCAUUCUUUUUGAGAGAAGUUAUUUUCGUUGUUGAUUUCUUAAGUGGAAAUGAAAAUUAUUUUUCUCAAUGCAUCUAGUAUGAUCGAGACGCAAUGCUGGCAUCUGAACUGGGUCUGAAGCAAAACAAACAACCAACAGAAUUCUUUUGCAAGACGCUGACAGCAAGCGACACAAGUACGCAUGGGGGAUUCUCAGUGCCACGCCGUGCAGCUGAGAAGAUAUUUCCACCACUAGUAUGCAAUAUUUCUGCAUAACAUUGGAAUAACUUUAAUGGAUCUAUGAAUUUAUCAGAUGCAAUAAAUACCUCCCUUACCAGGGUAACAUGUUCGAUAGGACUUUACGAUGCAACCACCAGCCCAAGAGCUCAUUGCCAAGGAUCUGCAUGAUAUUUCAUGGAAAUUUCGACAUAUCUACCGAGGUACUGAAAAUUGCCGUUCACUGAAAUAAUACAACAACUUUGUACUGUAAUGGAUGUGAAUUGUUAUGCACGCUGCCGGAUUUUUUUUUGUGUGCACUAUUUAUGUUUGGCCUUUAGCAGAUAUUAGAAUUCCAAUUUUUCAUGAAACUUUUAAGGAAAUCUGUACUAGGACAUGAUGUCUGAUAAAUCAGAGGUGCUCUGUACUUAUCACUAUACUGUACCUGCACAUGCAGGUCAACCGAAGAGGCAUCUUUUGACAACCGGUUGGAGUGUCUUCGUCAGUACAAAAAGGUUGUUAGCUGGUGAUUCAGUUCUCUUUAUAAGGUAAUAUAAUUAAUUCCAGUCAUUAAAAAGUGUGUUUGUGUAUCUAGAUAGUUACAGAAAACAUUGAUCUUACACAUUUUUUCCAGGGAUGAGAAAUCUCAGCUUCUCUUAGGUAUAAGGCGUGCUAGCAGACCCCAACCAGCUCUGUCAUCAUCAGUUUUAUCAUGCGACAGCAUGCACAUUGGAAUCCUGGCAGCAGCAGCCCAUGCUGCUGCAAAUAGUAGCCCAUUUACUAUUUUCUAUAACCCAAGGUAUUUUAGUUGCUAAUUGUACCUUAUUGGAACUUUCAGCCAGUACUUAGGCUAAUGAAUCAUACUAUUCUUCGGAUAGGGCAAGCCCAUCGGAAUUUGUCAUCCCUUUAGCAAAAUACAAUAAGGCUCUGUAUACACAAGUGUCCCUUGGAAUGCGAUUCAGAAUGCUCUUUGAGACAGAGGAUUCAGGGGUAAGAAGAUACAUGGGCACGAUCACAGGCAUUGGCGACUUAGAUCCACUGCGGUGGAAGAAUUCUCAUUGGCGAAACCUUCAGGUAUGUCGUUCAACUUCCUUUUCAUGUUAAUCUGCAGCGAUAUCCAUUUAAUUCAGCUACAUCCAGUAAGAAAUUAGUUGGGUCAAGAAGUAAAGUUGGAGUUACACGAGUCAACCCCGAUGUUUAGAUUUUAUAUAAGAUUUACCUGACACUGUAAGGAAAUGAGUUUCAAAGACUAGCACAAAAGGAUGGCAGAUUCAUCUGACUUCAUCUGUCUUUUCCACUUCAGGUUGGUUGGGAUGAAUCAACUGCAUCUGAGAGGCGCACCCGUGUUUCGAUAUGGGAGAUUGAACCAGUUGCUACACCAUUUUAUAUAUGCCCACCACCAUUUUUCAGGCCAAAGCUUCCUAAGCAGCCAGGAAUGCCAGGUACAAAUAAUAUUAUGGUAUCUGAAAUAAUUUUCUCAAACACGCAGGGGAGCUGCGCAUCAUUGCAUUGAUAGAAGAGAGGACAACACACACUUGCGCGCGGGUGCACACACACACGCACACACCUCAGAUGAAAGGAUUACAUACAUGCCUGUAAAAAAAGUGACCAUACAAAAAAUAAUGCAAAACACAAUUUGGCGUUAUCAUAUUUUUUAAUUCUGUUUUGUCAUGCAUUUGUUAAACCGAUUGACUAUCAUGUGGCCCUGACCCUGUAUACUUAAGUUGGCGAAAAUUUGUUUCAUGAACUUAGUUCUUACCUUUUCUUGUCUAUAACCUUGAUACAUAAACUACCAGCAAGAAGUGUUGUUUUCUUGUUGAAAAUCACAAAUAAGUUGCAUAGACACGGAGAUUCCCUUUCCUAAAUGUCAUUGCUUCUUGUUCAUGUAUAAACUAGACUUUUAACUAUGAGCAGGAAUACUGGCCUACUUGCUUGUCAUCUUUGUGUUGGAGUCACUUCUUGAUCAACAAUUCAACAUUCAUGCAUCUAUUAUUUGCACUGUUUCAUUUUUCUGAAGAUAUACUUUGUCCUUCUAUAAAACGAAUCUUGCAGAUGAUGAAAGCGAGGUUGAGAGUGCUUUCAAAAGAGCGAUGCCAUGGCUUGCUGAUGACUUUGCCCUGAAAGAUGUCCAAAAUGCAUUAUUUCCAGGCCUGAGCCUAGUUCAAUGGAUGGCUAUGCAGCAAAAUCCUCAGAUGCUAGCAACUGCUGCCCCUGCUGUACAGUCGCAGUACUUGACCUCUAAUGCACUGGGUAUGCAGGAUGGGAUAGGCAGUGUCAGUGAAGAUCCAACAAAAAGAUUGAGUAUGCAGGCCCAAAAUAUUGGCUUACCUAAUUUACAGGCUGGUUCGAAAGUGGACCACCCUGCAAUUAACUCAUUAGCUCAACACCAGCAACAGCCUCACCAUGUAUUGCAACAACAGCAGGUCCAACCGCUGCAGCAAAGUUCUGCGAUUCUACAGCAACAGCAAGCCCAGCUGUUGCAGCAAAAUGCCAUUCACUUGCAGCAGCAGCAAGAACAACUCCAACGGCAACAAUCACAGCCGCAGCAACAGUUGAAAGCUACUGCAUGUCUUCAGUCAUCGGACCAGCACAAGCUGAAAGAGCAACAGCCUUCAGGUGGACAAGCUGUCUCACAAGCACAAUUGUUAAACCAUAUUUUGCAACCAUCUUCAUCUCAGCUACAACAGUUGGGUUUACCCAAGUCACCUACCCAGCGCCCAGGGUUACCAGGUCUAACAGCGAUGGGUUCUUUGCAGCAAUCACAAUUAACUCAGACUUCACAGCUGCAACAAACAGCAGAAUACCAGCAGGCACUCCUACAAAGUCAACAACCUCAACUACAACAGCUAUCACAAUCAGAACUGCAGCUGCAGCUGCUUCAAAAGAUUCAACAACAAAAUCUGCUAUCUCAACUGAACCCACAGCAUCAGUCCCAGCUGAUCCAACAAUUGUCUCAGAAAAGCCAGGAAAUUCUCCAGCAACAAGUUCUUCAACAUCAGGUGGGUGGUGCUGAUGCCAUGGGUCAGCUCAAACAUUUGCAGCAAACACCUUUGAACCAUACGACGGGAUCCCUGACACCCCAGCAACUUGUAAGAUCACACUCAGCACUCGCUGAGAGUGAAGAACCAUCCAGCUCAACAGCUCCAUCUGGCAGCCGUAUCUCCCCAAUAAAUUCAUUGAGUAGAGCACACCAAGGAAGCAGAAACUUGCCUGAGAUGCCAGCAACACCCCAAAUUGAGCACUUGCUUCAGGAAAUUCAAUGUAAAUCAGAUAAUCGAAUCAAGAAUGAUAUACAAGGUAGUAAAGAAACGGUUCAUGCACCUAAUCGUCAUCUAGCUUCAGAUCAACUUGAUGCGUCAUCUGCUACCUCCUUUUGUUUAGAUGAGAGCCCACGAGAAGGCUUUUCCUUUCCUCCAGUUUGUUUGGAUAACAAUGUUCAAGUUGAUCCAAGAGAGAAUUUUCUUAUUGCGGAAAAUGUGGAUACAUUAAUGCCCGAUGCCCUGUUGUCAAGAGGGAUGUCGUCUGGAAAGGGUAUAUGCAAUCUACCUACUGGACAAAGGGAUCAUAGGGAUGUGGAGAACGAGCUAUCCUCUGCUGCAUUCAGCUCCCAGUCAUUUGGUGUGCCUGACAUGUCUUUCAAGCCUGGAUGUUCAAGUGAUGUUGCUGUUGCUGAUGGUGGAAUGGCAAGCCAAGGUUUGUGGAAUAGUCAAACACAACGGAUGAGAACCUUCACCAAGGUUGGUUGCUUGGUAACACUUACCUAAGAAUGCAUUUAUAUAUGCAUACCUGUAUGUGUCACGCUCUCAAAACCAUGAAGUAUUCUAAUAUUCUCUUAGUAGUAGAUCUAGUGGAGUCAUAAUAGCUUGCCUUCUUAUGCUUAUUUUCUUAAUAAUAAUUUGAACAUUUUCCUGCAAAUUCAUGAGAAAACCUUGUUUUCACCAACUAAUAAAUAGGUGUGUAUUCAGUGUAGUAUUAGUGUUGAAGUAUAAGUGAAUUGUCCACCCUUCUCCAUCAUUAAGCUUUUAGGUUAAACUGAUUGGCUCAUGCAAUUCAAUAUAGUACCAUAGGGUCAAAGGUGUAAACCUUUUGUGCAUGCUACUCAAUAUGGCAUUAGUGCUAAAGGUCUCAAAUUCCAAUCCUGGCUAGCACAAUUAAAUAAAAUAAUUGUUACCCACUCCUAUUUCAUAUAUGAGGCUGGAGCGAGCCUUCAUUUGAGGGGUAGUGUUGAAGCAUAAGUGAAUUCUCCACCAUUCAUCAUCAGCUUAAGCUUUUGGGUUGAACUGAUCAGUGUAUGCAAAUGAGUAGUUGAAUACUUAGUGUUUAGAAAGCCAUUUGGAUGGCACUAAGGAACAUAAAUAUUUGCAUGCCACCUUGGAGUUCCCAUUCCAGCAUUGCAUAAAUGGGAUAAAUUGUGACCUGAUGUAGGGUGCAUGUAGCUCUAAGGCCCUGUUUAGAUUGGAGAUGCAAUUUUUUGGGGUGUCACAUCGGAUGUGUCGGAAGGAUGUCGGGAGGGGUUUUUAGAAACUAAUAAAAAAACAAAUAACAUAGCUCGUCAGGAAACUGCAAGACAAAUCUAUUAAGCAUAAUUAAUCUAUCAUUAGCACAUGUAGGUUACUGUAGCACUUAAGGUUAAUCAUAGAGUAACUAGACUUAAAAGAUUCGUCUCGCGAUUUUCAACCAAACUGUGUAAUUAGUUUAUUUUUUUAUGUACAUUUAAUGUUCCAUGCAUGUGUCUAAAGAUUCGAUGGGAUGGAUGAAAAAAUUUUGGGUGGGGAACUAAACAGGGCCUAAGCUGGACGAUGAAUUUUUAUUUACUCCCAUACAUAUAGCAUUGAUGAGUAUUUUGAAGUGUCUAUACUAAGGUUUGUGAUAGCAUUACCGCUCUACGACCCUGUUUUGGUCUUCGGUUGAAUACUCUGCUCAUUAUAUUUACUAAGUACUCCUCAAUUGUUACGAUGUGCCAAACUGAUACCCAGUGGUGCAGUUAUCCAAUAAUAGUGCAAUCAUAUUUACACUCAUCUUGAUUUGAAGGUUCAAAAGCGUGGAUCUGUUGGGAGAUCAAUUGAUAUAACACGAUAUCGAGGUUAUGAAGAUCUUCGGCAUGAUCUUGCAUGCAUGUUUGGUAUUCAAGGGCAGCUUGAAGACCCCUACAGAACGGAUUGGAAGCUGGUCUAUGUUGAUCAUGAAAAUGACAUCCUUCUUGUCGGGGAUGACCCCUGGGAGUAAGUUCCUACUUCUGUUUCCUUCAUCUCUUUGGUACAUCCUAACCAUGGUGUUUCCUUAACCUGUUACAUUUCUGAUGAUCUGAAAAUCCUGGCCUGCAGGGAGUUUGUAAGCUGUGUCAAGAGCAUUAAAAUAUUAUCAUCUGCUGAAGUACAACAAAUGAGCUUGGAUGGUGACCUUGGUUGCAUCCCUCAAACUCAAGCCUGUAGUGCUUCUGAUGACGCAAAUGCAUGGAGGGCCUGACGUACAUACCAAUAUGCUUCUUACCAAUUUUUUUAAAUGAUACUACUGAGAGUUAGGGUUAAAGAAGUGAAAUACACGUCUAACUAACUACGAAGUAUUACUUAGAGCCAACUCACUGACAGAGUCGAUGGAAAGCUUGUUGCAGAAGUUGUUCAGCGAGCUGCCAUAUUUUAGAGGUCUUGACGGCUGACGCUUUGUUCCACUGAAAUCGGGUAAUUACUCAACAUAAUCAUAUUAGUUUUCCUUUUUUUUGUCUGUAUGUUGGGUGGGUGGGGGGAUAUAAGACUUCUUUGAAGUUGAGAAUCUACUGUGCUUAUUGGGACCUACGUUCAUUGUAAUCUUACAGAAUUGUUUAAUUAUCUCAGUGUAUAUAUGUGCUGUAUAACUGUAAUUGUUGAUUUUGCAACUCGCAAUCCCCAUUGUAAUUGCUCCAGUGUGCUACUUUCACCACUGAAGUACUAGUAGAAAAUUAGAAAUUGUAUUGACUAUCUGCAACAGAAUUUGAUUCAGUAUCGGAUAUAUUUGCAGUUUAGAUGGGUCCGUAAUAACACUUGAAAUGUCUACCGUUGAACAAUAUUUUUUUUUGAGUGUCAACGGGGGGAGUCGCUCCCCACCUGAGUAUUUUGUAUUUCAUAUCGGCCCUGAAUGGCCUAAUGUCAUUGAACUUUUGCAUCUCCAUCGAACUGAUGAAGUUUAGAUACGUACAGAAAAGUUCAGAUCGAAAUCUAGUAAAAUAAGACACUCAUCCUUCCCCUUGUCUCGCCGACUCGAAGGCUAGUUCCCAUGCUUGCACAAUAUGGCGCUUGGAUGGUUGGAGUCUGAACCCCCAUUGGACUGAAACCGCCGAGCAUUGCUGCAGUAGUUGAUUCAAUCCGGUGGCUUGAUUCCUGAAGACCUUUUUGUUUUUGGACUUCCACAAUUGCCAACAACAUAGGGCGAUGAAGGUAGAGAAGCCUUCACUUGGGAUCAUAUCCGGGCGCGGCCAGGAAGUGACAUUGUCUGGUUGAAGGGGAGCAGCGAUACCCAGACAAUUCCAAAGUUGGGUUGCCAAAACCACAGGAGCAGAAGAUGUGUGCCUGAGUUUCUUCAUGCUGCCCGCAGACUUCACAAGUUGAGUGAUCAAUGAUAUGCUCUCGCAUUAGGAGUGCUCUGGUAUGGAGUCUAUCUUGUGAGAGCAACCACAUGAACAGCUGUACUCUCGGUGGUGCAAAGGACUUCCAAAUGAAGGUAGCACUUGCAGAUGCCGGCUGUCCCUUAGCCUUUAGCAUUCUGUAGAUGGCCCCACUAUCAAGCCUUGAAUAAUGGAGUACAGAACAUUGACUCCCGUCCUUAGCCUUUAGCAUUCUGUAGAUGGCCCCACUAUCAAGUCUUGAAUCCUGGAGUACAGAACAUUGACUCCCGCUUGUCCGUAGUCACCUAGGCAGAAAUGCAGAGCUAGCGUGCAUUCUGGGAUAUGUUUUCAGUCGCAGCCUCUGUUUGCAAACCUAUUACGAUUACGACGGAGCCGUUAUGCCGGAUACAGAGGACUUGCAACCUACUGGGCUGAUUUCAUUCUUAUUGUUGGCGAGAAUCGAUUGGACGGUCCAGUUCCAAACGGGCCACGUUAGGAACCAAUACAAAAGAAAAAAAAAAACUUAUCGUAGUCUCCUCUUUCUCUGAGGGAGAGUGGAGCUUGAUAAAAAAUAGAAAAGAGAUUGAGAAAAAAAGAAUUUGGAGCUUUUUUUUCAUUGUUAUGAGAUACAUGUAAACUUUCUCAACUUUAACUAGAUUUAUAGAAAAUAUAAUUUAUUAUGAUAGUAUAUUUAAGGAUCUAAUGAUACUAAUUAUAUAUUAUAAAUAUUAAUAUUUUUAUCUAUAGUUGGCUAAAGUUAAGAAAAACUAACUUCUGAUAAUGACUUCUAUUUUGUCAUAGAGGUAGUAGUUUUCAAAACAAGAAUUGGCAAAUCAAUGAGUUUUUCAAGUGGCUAAAUUUUUUAGGAGCAUUUUUUUAGAAUUAUACAGUACAACGCAGACACCCACAAUAUGCACACAUACUCACCCCUAUCAAUAUAUGUAUGUCUUUUCUAUAUUCUUCCACCUCCCUAGCUGAUCGAUACGUUUCUGUGCGACUAGGUGAACUUUACUAGGUGCGGAAAGAUUGUGAGUUACUCUCUCUGUCCUAUAAUAAAAGUCAUUAUGAGAUUUAAUUAGGUUUAUAAAAAAUCACAUACAACAUUUACAUCUCUAAAUAAAUUUAUUAUAAAAGUAUAUUCAACUAUCAAACUAAUGAUACUAAUUAUAUAUUAUAAAUAUUAAUACUCUUUUAUAUAUAAUAAUUGGUUAAAAUUUUAAAAAGUUGACUUCUCAUGAAGCAAGAACAACUUCUAGUUUAGGACAGAGAGAGUAUGUUGCAGAGCAAUUUUUUUAUCUUACUAAAAAGUAAAGAUCGGUAGUGUGUUUUGAAAGCUCCUGGAUGUUCUUAGAAAAAGACGAGGACUUGUUUAAUCCAUUCCUCAAAAGUUAUAUCCUAUGGUAUCGAAUAUUUUGACGCAUAAAAUAUUAAAUAUAGACUAAAAAAAACUAAUUACACAAUUUGUGACUAUUUUGCAAGAUGAACCUUCUAAAUCCAAUUAGUUCAUGAUUUAAUAAUAAAUGCUACAGUAACCUAUGUGCUAAUGACAGAUUAACUAGGCUUAAUAAAUUCAUCUCAUGAUUUGAUUCUAUAAUUUAUUUUUUUAUUAAUAUCCAAACACCUUUUGUGACAUCCCAUGUAACACUUAACACUCCAAAAAUUUACAUGCUAGAACUAAGGUCCGGUUUACUUUUUUUUUAAAAAAAUAUUCUCGUUUACAUCGAAUCUUUAGACGUAUGCAUGGAGCAUUAAAUAUAGAUAAAAAAUAACUAAUUGCACAGUUUGUCUAUAAUUUAUGAGAUAAAUCUUUUAAGCCUAGUUAGUCUAUAAUUAGAUAAUAAUUACUAAAUAUAAAUGAAAGUAGUAUAAUAUCUAAGGCCUAGUUUAGUUCCGAAAAAAUUUCGAAUUUCGGCACUGUAGCAUUUUUGUUUUUAUUUGACAAAUAUUAUCCAAUUAUGGACUAACUAGGCUUAAAAGAUUCAUCUCGUGAUUUACAGUUAAACUGUGCAAUUAGUUUUUAUUUUCGUCUAUAUCUAAUGCUUCAUGCAUAUGCUCCAAGAUUUGAUGUGACGGGAAAUCUUGAAAAAGUUUUGGUUUUUGGAGUGAACUAGGCCGUGUUUAGUUCCUUGUGGGAAAAAUUUCGCGACACUGUAGCACUUUCAUUUGUUUGUGGUAAUUAUUGUCCAACUAUGGACUAACUAGGCUCAAAAGUUUCGUCUCGUAAAAUUCGACCAAACUGUGCAAUUAGUUUUUAUUCUCAUCUAUAUUUAAUAUUCUUUGCAUGUGUUUAAAGAUUCGAUGUGAUGGGAAAUCUUGAAAAAUUUUGGCUUUUUUGGGUGGAACUAAGGCCCUGUUUAGUUACUCGCUCAAAAAUUUUGCAUCAAUCCAUCAAAUCUUUGGACACAUACAUAGAACAUUAAAUGUAGAUAUAAAAAUAAACUAAUUACACAGUUUGGUUAAAAAUCGCGAGACGAAUUUUUAAACCUAGUUACUCUAUGAUUAGCCUUAAGUGCUACAGUAACCCACAUGUGCUAAUGAUAGAUUAAUUAUACUUAAUAGAUUUGUCUUGCAGUUUCCUGACGAGCUAUGUAAUUUGUUUUUUAUUAGUUUCUAAAAACCCUUCCCGAUAUUCUUCCGACAUAUCCGAUGUGACACCCAAAAAAAUUUUUAUCCUCAAUCUAAACAGAGCCUAAACAAGGCCUAAGGCCUAACCUAAAAUUUUUUGUGAACUAAACAAGGCUGCGUCUGGCCCAUUUCAAAUGCAGUCCCCAGGACGUUCUAGAACCAUCCGGUCUCUACGCAGUACGCACCAGGCAGGCACCACCAACCAACCAACAGGCCAAGCGGUUAACCCCGCUCGGUACACAGGCCGCUACCAUACACCGCCGGAGCAGCUUACCCCGCCCAAAUCCAUCGAAACUCCCGUGCGCAAGCCCAAAUCGGAGCAGGGUAACCGGGCGGCCGCGGCGCAGCGGACGCGAUAGCGUUGGGGAUAAAAAGUGCGGGCUGGGAUUUUAGCUCGCCAGCGCCGCUGCUCUACCUCUCUAUACUCUCCUCUCCUAGCAUAGGGUUUAUCUUCUCCCAUCCUCUGCCCCCCCAACUCGCUUCUCGCACACGGCAGCCGGAUUCCGAAGCAACCCCAGGCAUAAGGUACCACCCGCUGGGAUUCUCGCUUGUUUGGCGUUGGAUUUGGCGGGCUUAGGAGUGGGAUUGGGGGGGCUCAGUUUGACGUACUCCGAUCCGAUUCCGAUUGGGGGUUCCUCUUUUCUCGUUCUGUGGAUCGGCGUGUAGAUUCAGUUCGGUGUUUUGGUACUGCACUAGGCGCGCUUUGAUUUAAUUGAUGAGUUCUCAUAUGUGCGUGGAUCGAGUGGACUCUAAUCUGCUCUACCUGUGAAUGUUGGGGGGGGAUUGGUUGGUUGACUAAUGAGCAGUUCAUUUUCAAUUGAGAUUUCGAUGGUUGUGAGAUUGCCCUCAAUAUUAGGUUGGUUUUUGACCAAUUUAAGCUCAGUUAGUGUCUGUCUGUCUGUCUGUCUGUCUGUCUGAAACUGCAGCUUCUAAUCGUUUAGAGAGCACUCGAGAAUGUCGUCCGUGCAGCUCUCUGGUGCCGGAGUCGCGGCUGUGGCCUUCACGAACAAGAGCCUCGUCUCUCAGCCCGCAGCUCUCCGGGUCUGCUCGUCAAGGCGCUCGGUCCGUAGCCUGGUCGUGAAGGCUGCCACCGUCGUCACCCCAAAGGUAUACAGCCGUAGUCUGUGGAUUUGGGUUGUACUGUGAGCCCAAUUUUAGCAUGAAUGCUCACGAUUCACUUCCAAGUGUUUUGUUGAAUGUAGUAUGCUUGUGUAUAGCUUGCAGCAUUUGAGUUUAAUGUGAUGUCAUGUUGCAGUACACUUCACUGAAACCUCUGGGAGAUAGGGUGCUUGUGAAGCUUGGUGCCGCAGAGGAGAAGACAGUUGGUGGCAUCUUGCUUCCAUCUACCGCCCAGACCAAACCACAAGGAGGUGAGGUUGUUGCUGUUGGAGAGGGAAGGACCAUUGGAGACAAGAAAGUAGCGGUUGAUAUAAAGGUAAAUCAUUGUUUCUGGUGGAUUAGUAACUUUUAAUGUCUAAUACAUAUGCCCCUGUUCUGAAUUGCUGGUGGUAAUUGGUAAAUAUGGAUAUGAUUAGAUGAGGUUCCAUGCUCGUAGCCAUAACUUAAUUUAAUGCAAUGUGCUGACCAGGAUUUGAUGCUCACUAGUAGGCUUCAUAUUGCAUAAACAAGAACACACUGUUAAAUUUAAAUGCUGAAUUGUCAAGAGAAUGGUAAAAUUGGAGUUUUUUCCUUGGAAAAGUCAUGUGAUACCUAUAUAAUCCUACUUUUCUUAUUGUUAGUAGGUACUCUUGUGUAUCUGAUAAUUGUACUAUAGAACUAUUCUUUUCCUCCUUAUAGCUAAUUUGUUACAUGUUGCUUAGAUACAAGCCAUACCUGUGAGAUUUAGAGUAGUCAUUGGAAGUGCAAAGCAAAAGAUAUAGCUAAUUCGUUGCGUGGUGUAUCUGCAACAGCGAGCUAGUAUAACUGAGUUUAGAGUAGUCAUUGGAAGUGCAAAGCAAAAGAUAUAGCUAAUUCGUUGCAUGGUGUAUCUGCAACAGCAAGCUAGUAUAACUGAGUUUGAGUAACCCUGAAGUUCCUUUGCUAGACUGCUAGAUCAGCAAUCAAGUUAGCAACCCUCACAUCACUACAUCAGCAUAUUUAUAGCUAACUACCCCUAGUUUAUUUCUAAAUACAUGGAAUCAGCCACCCCAUUGCCAGGUUCUUAGCUAUAUAGAUCAUGGUUCCUCUCACAAGAAUCUCAAGUGACUAAGUGAGUGUUACUAGCAAGGAAACUCAGGGGUUGCUCUAUCUCAAUUGUGCUAACUCUUAGUUACAUAGCAAUUUCUGUGUGUCUGCAUCACAUUGCUCACAAUCUUUUAUGACGUGACACCGUUUAUUGUGUGUGGAAAUAACCUUCCCAAGCUUUUCGAAAAGGUAUAUGGUUUGCACAUAGGAAUCCUCAAGAUCUUUACAGAACAUACACCUGAAUUGGAUGGAUAGAACUGCACUGUGUUGUAGUUAGACAAGGUUCUCGUAUCCACAUAAUGUCAAGCUAGAACUUAAUACAAUCUUUGGAGCAAGCUACAUUUUGGUUGUCCUACAAAUGGUGCUGAAAAUACCCACCAAAAUUUGGACUAGUUAAACGUGACAAAAGUAAACAUGGGUAAAAUUCUUGGCCAAAUUUAGUUUGGUACUUCGGUUGCUUUGGACUCCAGUCCAUCUCAAUAUGGCGUGUGCAUGUGUUGGUACUACCAAGUUUGGGUUAGUAAAGCUUUUUUCUAUACUUUGGCUUGAACCCUAAUUUUUUGGCCAUGCUUUGGACCAGGCAGCUCUAAAAUUCUGUUUGUGGGUGGUGGGGGUGGGGUGGGGGAUAAGGAUGAGUUUGACUGAAAACAUCUUUUCUCGAAAAGGCCUGACAAUUUUCCAUUUGCAUAUUAAGAACCAUUCAUUAUGCCUUGGUCAAAUCAGAUUAUCUUCUGGGACCGGGGAUGCACAACUCAAAACUAACUCUGCUGAUUGAUGCACAGAAAGAGCUUUGCAUUCUGUUCUAUUAUAAUUGCUAUUAUAAUUGCAACUGACAAAUUUGUAUUAGUUCCUGAUGAAUAGUGUUAAUUUGGGGCUGAGAGAAAUGUCUCUAGUGCAGUCCUGAAGAUGAGCAAAUGGAUAUUUGGUUGCUUAUGAGUUGAACUUCAUGUUGUACAAAUAUGUUCCUUAACGCUUAUGCUCCUUUUUUGCAUUCAAGUUAGGGACUUGUGGCAACAGAAUGAGUUUAGUAUAAACCAAGCUCAGCCUAUGUAGGAAAUUUUGUUUUUACCAAAGUUGCUUCCUGCAGUUUAGCUGUAGCUUUGACUGCUUUAGUGUAGCAAGUAUGUCUAAAUUUACUAGCAGACUAGUUGGAUGAUGUUUAAUGUAAUGCUGUCAGCCUAGUUUUCAUGUGUACUACUGCCUAAAUGCUUAUUUUUUGCCACUCUUUCCUUCUUUGCCCAUGAAAUGCUUGGCCUUAAUGUGUAUUCUUUCGUCUUUCAGACUGGAGCACAAGUAGUAUACUCAAAGUAUGCUGGCACUGAGGUUGAAUUCAAUGACUCAAAGCAUCUUAUUCUCAAGGAAGACGAUGUCAUCGGUAUUCUUGAGACAGAUGAUGCGAAGGAUAUGAAGCCUCUCAAUGACCGUGUUCUCAUCAAGGUAUUCAUAAAUUAAUAGUUUUGUCGUCUCGUUGGUUUAAACUUGUUGCACUCUAGCGCUUUGUUGAACUGAGAUGUUGUCGCUUUACAAUUUUCUCACAGAUGUUUAUAUUUUGGGUUUAAGUUUUGUUACUUGUCUUUGUUACUAUAUUCUGCUCUUGUACAGCAUAUCUAGCCUUUAAUUACAUUUCUCGUGGCAUGCCGUGACAGGUUGCAGAAGCUGAAGAGAAAACUCCUGGGGGCCUUAUCCUCACUGAAACAGCUAAAGAGAAGCCGUCCAUCGGAACGGUGAGUUCUUGCCACUAGUUUGCCUGUAUUUCUCUUCUAUGGUUGUGUAAGUUGCAGCUUGCAGGAUUCGAUACCUCAAGAUACUACAAGUAUAGGAGAUAGCAGUAGCAAAGUAUUCAAGGUCUGGACGUUAAAAGGCGAAUGCAUGAGCUAAAGCUCAGGUCUGGACGUUAAAAGGCGAAUGCAUGAGCUAAAGCUCUGUUUCGUCGCUGCAGGUUGUAGCUGUUGGCCCGGGUCCUCUGGACGAGGAAGGCAAGAGGCAGCCACUGUCAGUGCCGGCGGGCAGCACGGUACUGUACUCCAAGUAUGCAGGGAGCGAGUUCAAGGGCGCUGAUGGCACGGGCUACAUUGUGUUGAGAGCGUCGGAUGUGAUGGCUGUCCUGUCUUAAGCCUUGCGUUUCCAGCUCUUUCUGUAGUUUGCAGCCAAUAGUUGUGAAGUGGUAUGAAACGAUCGCUUUGUGGUGAUCAUCACAAAAUGCUGAUACUGUUCCGGACAAUCGGCUAGAAUUUGGGUCGACACGAGUUACGGGCUACCUGUGAGCUUAUAAACAUCAGCAUCUGAUAGUGAAUUCACUCGGUUGUUUUUACAAAGGAUAUUUUGGGUGUGAUGAAGUCACUCGGUUCUUUGCUGUUUUCUUACUAUUUCAUUGGUUGAAUCUGGACUUCUGUUCCGUACCCAUUUGACGAAUUGAUUAGCAAUAGCUACUUGUUGCCGAACGUUUGGUGAUAGUUGCAAGACUUGUAAUGAGCUCUGAUUUUCGGCAGCACUGGAAGACCUCUGCCCUCUGCUACGACACGUUUGAUCUUUAUAGUGAUCACACGUUUGGGUGGUUACAUUACAUGGAUGACUUACGACUGAUCUCUAGUGAUCACGUCAGGCAUUUUACUCGUCUGAGAAUCGAAUUUCGUAUUGUGGUUGGAACUGCACUCACCGCACUGCUUUUACUCGUAUGGUAGCGACGCUUCGAGAUUUAUCAACAAUAGUGUCAUGCAUUUCAGUGGUAGCAAUGCUUAAGAGAUUUAUCAAGAAUAAAUAGUGUCAUGCACUGUGAACGAACUUUGUACCAUAUAUGAACAUAUAUAACUCGUACAAGUAUGGAAGAGAGUGGUGGACCGUGGAAUCACGUUGCAUUCUAAUUUAUUUUGGAAUCGGUCUUUGUAUCAUGUUUAAUUGGACAAUGAGCUAGCUCAGCAAGGGUUUAUGUCAAAAGUUUCAUGUAUUUGGGUCGAUGAACCCUCUAAUUGUAUUAUUCCUCUUUUAUCAAACGAUGUAACAAUGUUUUCAGAUGAAUAAAGCUUGCAGGAUGGCUUUUUUUUUAAAAAAAGAGGGAUCGGUCGCACUCGAUGGUUUGGCGGGGCCACCUACACUCCUUGUCUCCCCUCCGUUCCGUCCCCAAAAGAAGCGGGGAAUGGCGUCGCUACCGGCCAGCUGUCCCAAGUGCCUUCCAAACGAUUUGAACCGGAUCAUUCGUCGUACGCUCACGAGUCACGACACGAAUUCGAUUGAUCGGCCGGGGAGACCAAGAAAGAACAAGCUAACCAUGAGAGUGUACACGUACACUAGAGUCUAGAUCACACCUCGCCGUAUAAUCUACUAGCAGUCACUCGUCAGCCGAAAAAAGUCUACAUAACCCUCCCAAAAUAUCUAGAGUAAAAUACUUCAUCCCAAAAAUUAUAAAACUGGAUAUUCUACCCGUUAAAUUUUCAAAACCCCUGUCAAAUAACCUCAUCGAGUGGUUUAGAGAGUGGUUUUAAAUCAUAGGAAAACAUAAAAUAAAAAAUAUAAUUUUGUUGGACUAUUGAUGAGUAGAUCUACACAAUGAAUAUAUAAUAUGGUAUAAUUUAGUACAUAGUUUUUGCUGUAACUUUAAAUUUAUAUUUUUCUGUAAUUAAUUCAAAUAAUUCAUAUAUGUAGUUCCUAUGGUUCAAUUGUGGUAAAAUUUAUAUGGUAGACUUAUUAUUAUAUGCUUGAACUAUGAUAAAAAUUUCAUACCCAAUUGUGUCGCACCACGACGGCGAUGUAAGAGGUGGAAUUGUUUCAUAUGCCACCUAGCUUUAGUGAGCUCGUAUGAAAUGCAAGGGAGAAGUUUGACGGUGAGUUCACAUUGAAAUGGCAAUUUGAUUGUGCGAAAAGGAUAGGACAUAAUAUAUGUUGAUGAACUUGUUGUGAUGGACAGCCCCAAUUACCCCAUUUAAACUAGUUUAUCAUUCUCUUGGCCGACCUGGCUUAAGUAGUUAAAUGGAAUAAUCCUAGUAGUCUUCAAUAUGCAUCUCAAAUGGCGGUUGAUAAUAUUGACCAUUCCUGGAAAUUAAUUUUCAAGGGCAGUCGAUAAUGACACCUGCUCAGCUCUUGGGUAGAGGCGGCUGCGAAAACUAUCUAUAGACAUUGAUUUUUUACCAUGCUACGAUUUUGUAGUAGUACUUCCCACCCUAUAGAAAUAAAUGGAAGGGCGAUGGGAGAUUAAUGUUGCAAUUUGGAGAUUAGGAAGCUUCUGGUGGUGUGUUGGACACCCACCCUCAUUCUAUUCAUUUUGUUCCACUUUACAUAAGGACCUUCUUACAAGUUUCUAUUUACACCAACACUCCCCCUCAAGAUGGACCAAAGAUAUCUAUCAUGCCCAUCUUGUUACAACUCAACUCAUUCUCACUAGGUCCUAAACCCUUAGUAAAGCAGUCCGCUAGUUGACUACGUGAUUUUACGUACUCUAGCCUUAGAGCCCCACUAUCAAGUUUUUCCUUAAUGAAGAAUCUGUCAAUCUCAACAUGCUUGGUGCGGUCAAACUGAACCGGAUUAUUUGCAAUAUUGAUUGCAGCAACAUUGUCACAAUGAAGCAUCAUGGUCUCAUUCCUCAACACCCGCAACUCCUUCAACAAGUCUUUUAACCACAACAUCUCGCACAGGCUCAAUGCCAUUGCCCUAUAUUCGGCCUCUGCAGUAGACCGCGCCACAACUGCUUGCUUCUUGCUGCGCCAUGAGACAAGAUUACCUCCCACAAACACGCAAUAACCAGAUGUGGACCUUCUGUCAUCCCUGCUGCUUGCCCAAUCAGCAUCACAAAAUCCCUCCAGAUCCAAGUGCAUGUUUUUCUUGAACCAUAGCCCUCUUCCAGGUGUUCCUUUUAGAUACCUCAAUAUUCUGUGGACCAAUUCCAUAUGUCCUGUUCUAGGAUCAUGCAUAUACCUGCUUACCACACUCACUGCAUAAGAAAUAUCAGGUCUCGUAUGGCACAGGUAUAUCAAUCUUCCAACUAGCCUUUGAUACGUUUCUUUGUUGAAAGAAUCUCUAGACUCAGCACUUAUUUGAUGAUUCCUAUCAAUAGGAGUGCUGCUCGGUCUGCAUCCAAGCAUCCCAGUCUCUGUCAACAGAUCAAGAACAUAUUUCCUCUGAGAAAGAACUAUCCCCUUAGGUGACCUAGCAAUUUCAAUCCCAAGGAAAUACUUAAGCGGUCCAAGAUCCUUCACCUCGAAGGCUUUUCCCAAAUUCUCCUUCAAGUAUCUGAUUUCCUCCACAUCAUCCCCUGUAAUCACAAUAUCAUCCACAUACACCGCCAUAACAGUGAUGAAUGAUCCCCUAUGCUUAUAGAAGACCGUAUGAUCACCAUUGCAUUGAGUGUAGCCCAUACCACAUACUGCCCUCCUAAACCUGUCAAACCAAGCCCUGGGUGAUUGCUUUAAUCCAUAGAGUGAUUUUUUUAGUCUACACACCUUGCCAGCGGUUUGGUUGUUAGCAAACCCUGGUGGAAUCUCCAUAUAGACUUCUUCUUGUAAGUCACCAUGAAGAAAUGCAUUCUUCACAUCCAUCUGAUGUAGAGGCCAACCAAAGUUAACUGCACAGGAGAUUAGGGUCCUAACAGUACCCAUUUUUGCCACAGGGGCAAAGGUCUCAUCAUAGUCAAUGCCAUAUGUUUGACUAUACCCUUUUGCAACUAGCCUUGCCUUGUAUCUGUCCACCUCUCCUUUUGGGUUUUGCUUCACAGUGAAGACCCACUUACACCCCACAGCUCUCUUUCCCUUUGGAAGUGGGACUAACUCCCAUGUCUUGUUCUUCUGAAGAGCAUGCAUCUCUUCCUCCAUUGCUGCCUUCCACUUGGGGUCCUGUUUUGCACACUUCCAGUCCCUUAGAAUAGGCACUGUUUGUAAAGAUGCAAUAAAAGCUCUAUAUGCAGGUGAAAGGUGAGAGUAUGAGAGGAAGUUGGCAAUGUCAUGAUCUGUACUAAGGUGCUCAAAUCCAUAUCGCACAGGAGGUUUUCCAAAAUUAGAUCUAGUUUCUCUACUUUGUGCAAGGGAUAACUCUACAUGCUCAGGCACAUGUCCUAACCGACAAUGAAGCAAGUAGAUCUCCCGCUCCUGUGCUCCAACAACUGUUGCCAAUGCUGAGUUCUGCUGGUUGAUAAUCCACAACCCAUGCCUGAUUCCAGUCCCAAUCACUCUCCCCGUCCCCUUCUCCUGGAAAAUACAAAUGUUUUCAUCAAAUAUAACGAUGCAUUUGAAUUGAUCAACCAGUGAACUAACAGAGAGGAGGUUGACUGGGAAAGAAGGAACAUGCAAGACAGAUGAUAAGUAAAGUGAUGGGGUGCACUCUACAGAUCCUACACCAUGAAUGGAUUGCGAUGUGCCAUCAGCAGUUUGAAUAGUUUCAGAAUAAGAGUGAGGAGUGUAAGUUUUAAAAGAACUAGAUAUGCCUAUGACAUGCUUGGAUGCCCCUGAAUCAAUGAUCCAUUCUAUGCCAUGCCUAUAUGUGGAUGCAAGUGCCUGUGCCUGAGUACCUUUGCCCAAAUGGGCAUAGUUGGCAAAGUUACCAAAGUGACUGGUGGUGGCAAUCAUAGGACCAUCUGAGGUGGUUUUGGAACUUUCAGAUCCUUUCAUCUUUUGCCAUUCUUCCCAUUGCUUGACUUGCUCCCCAGUUAGGGUGACAGAUGGAAAAUCUCCUGCGGUAGCAGUAGUGAUCUGAGAACCACUCUCCCAGUUAGCAACAUUAGCCUGAGUACCACCACGGCCUCUGCCACGUCCUCCACCACGACCACCACGACUUCCUUGGUCACCACGAGCACCACCACGACCUCCACGACUUCCACUUCUACUACCAUAGCUCUUGGGAAGGGGACAAUUAUAGCUCAAGUGUCCCUCCUCUCCACAAUUGUAGCACUUUCUCUCCGCCACUGAGGUAUAGGCCGACUUUACAGGAUUGUUACUACUCAUCAUCCUCAGUCUGCUCUCCUCAAUAACCAUGGCUGACACAGCCUCCUCCAUGGUAGGGAGACUCUCCUGGUGGCAAAACGCAGCCCUUCUGCUCUCAAACUCAGGAUCUAAGUUCUUUAGAAAAUGAGUCACCCUCCUGUCCUCAAUCCACUUCUGAACCUCGUGGGCAUCCUGUGGAUCUCUCAUGUUGAGUGGAGCAUAGUGAUCCAACUCUCCCCACAAGUACUGUAAUUCACUCGCAUAUUGCUCCACUGAUCUUCCUGCUUGUUUCACUGCAUCGGCCUUGUUCUGAAUCUCCAUCAUCACCAUUACAUUUCCCUGCUUAGAAUAUCUGUUACUCAGAGUUUUCCAUAUUUGUGCUGCAGUGUGCAUAGCUUCCACCACUUUACUAACAGAUGGUGACAUGGAUGACAGUAACCAUGCCACUAUGGUAGAGUUUGUUGUGUGACAUGCCCUCCAUUCAGGGCUGAGCUUGUUAGCUGGCUCAACACAAUCCUCCCUCAAAUAGUUCUCUACCCCUUUCCUCCUAGUAUCACCUGCACUCUUCUAGCCCAACUCAAAUAAUUCUUACUUCCUUCUAACUUCACAUCAUUUGGGAUGAGCUCCAAUUUGAGCUCACGCACCUCCCUAGGGCCAAACAGAUUCAUCUAUAUAAGCCCCUGAAUCAUCGACUUUAUCUCCUCUUUCAACUCAGUCUUAGUAACUAGUGAUUCACCUCCGCUGUUACCCUCACCAUCUCCUGGCUUUCCUGUCUCUUUCCCUGCAUCCAUCUUCCUCCCCAAAUCUGUUCCCCCACAGGCAAGUCUAAAUCACUUUAGUACGCACAAGUAACAAGAGCCUCCUCUUCACUUACAGAGCAACAGCAGCAGCAGGUCCCCGCUUGUCAAGCUUCAGGCCUCCACCCCGAACUUCCUCAAACUUCUCCUCUGCUCUUCUUCCCUCUUCUUCUUCGCCAACACACAGCGCACAGGGCACCGCUGGGGCAGUCGGCUGCCCAAGCACGGUGGCAGUUUGCUCGCUGUUCAACCCGGCGCUCGCCUGCGCCGCCCGCGCCCGCACAGCUGCGUGACGCCGCUCGCUCGCAGGAUAACGAGCGCGCUGGCCUCUCGCACCCGCGCCCGCCUGCGCCGGCCCACGCCCGCACAGCUGCCCGACGCAGCUUGCUCGCCUGUUGCCGAGCGCGCUGGCCGCUCGCGCCCGCGCUCGCCCGAGUCCGCCGCGCCCGCGCUCGCCCAAGUCCGCCCGCAGCAGACCACGCGAGCCUGAGCCGCGCACCGAGUCCGCCCGUGCGUCACGCCCACGGCCGCACACCGUCGCCGCAGGUACGGUCCUCGCUGCUAACCCUAGCUUCUCUGGCUCUGAUACCAUGUUGCAAUUUGGGGAUUAGGAAGCUUCUGGUGGUGUGUUGGACACCCACCCUCAUUCUAUUCAUUUUGUUCCACUUUACAUAAGGACCCUCUUACAAGUUUCUAUUUACACCAACAAUUAAUAUCAUCAUCUAACCGAUUAAAUCAAUUUACUUUUAUGCAUUUUACCUUUUAUCCCUUUGCUUACUUCCAACCCUCAAUUGGUGUUCUUCUCCUGUCUCUGCAGCAUUUGAGGUCACCUUAGUCGUCAUUAGUCUGCUUGCCCCAAAUCCCAAUGGGGUCCCUUCGGCAAGCGUUCAAUGGAUUUAUUUGACACUGUUGAAGGGCAGAACUUCCGAGCUUCAAAAAACAAAAUUUCUGGUCCUCCGCAGCAUGCCCAACACACGCUACCUCAAUUGCCCCAUCGUGUUUGACUCAACACCAACAAGCAACACACAAUAUUGUUGCCCUAAAAUCGGAGCUUCGAAACUGGAAAAACUCCACGCAUAAAAACUCUCGUGGAAGUACGGAUAGCUGGUUGAACAUGGUGUUUCAUCCUCCUGCCCAGAUUCCCAGCGAAUGAAAUCCUCAUGGCAAACUAUAACAGGAACAUCAACUUCCAUACAGAACUGAUUUUGCGAGUAUAAGUCGUCUGGAUACCAUACAGCGAUUUUCAACAGCUACUUGACAAAUCGGCACAUGAAGUUCAUCAUGAACUCUCUUCUAAAUGAAAUAUGUGCUUAGGACAGCAUGAAGAACAGACUAAUUGCACUGGGCAGUCUAAGAUGGCACGAGGUAAUUGAUGAAAGCUUCUGCCUUAGGAGCCAAAGCUUUAAUGUCCUCACGUGUUGCAAGUUCAUUGUCCUCAAACUGGAACGCUGGGGCGCAGGUUACACCAACAAACGAAUAAUGCAGUUCAGGGUCUCUUCCGGGAGUCUUGACAAAUACACUUCCAUCUUCAGUAAAGGAUUCAAUGUCGCAGGUCAAGAAGGCCCCAAACCAUAUGUUUGGAGGAACUGUGUACUGUGGUCUCUGGCCCUGCCGCAGGUCAGGACCAACGACAGUCGUCUUGAUUUGUCCAUCAUCAUGCACCUCAAAUACCUGAAUGAAUGGAUGAUCUGAGCAGCGUUUUAAAGAAUCAGAUGUGUCAUUUUUCAGAUAAGUUUACAGACCGUGAGAGGUUCUCCUAGGUAGUAAUGCCAGGUUUCAGCACAAGGGAUACGGUGCAACCUAGCGAUCUCCCCAGCAGGCAGUAGGAAAUAGAUGGCACUACUCACGGCACGGUCAACCUUAUCUACAACGAUUGGAACAUAACAUUAGUGAAUUAGGGAAAAAUAAUGCAGACAAAUCAAGAUCAACCAUGGGUACAAUCAAGGUUUAGUAGAUAUGCUCAGCAAGUCAAGCAUCUUUAUAGUUUAGAAUGAGCAGGAUCCAGCUGCAAGGUUACAUGAAAACUUGUUCAAAUAACAGGUUACUGAUGGUUGAUGCCAAUCCUUUUAACCAUCCAAUUUAGGGGCAUGGAAAUCAUACAUGGUAGCUCCUAUAAGCUAUAAAGAAAGUAAGGAUAUCUUCUAAUUGAAAAGAACAGCAAGCCCAUAAAAACCCAAACCUCAAUUUUCACUGUAACAAUAAGGUAUGACUGAAUUUUGAAGUUAGGAUCACGAUCAAGUAUUAUUCUAGAUAAGACAAGUGUCAGGAACCAUCAUGAAGCUAUUGGCAGCAAUUUGCAUUUCUCAAUCACUUGGUAGAACCUGAAUUACUAAGUGCAGAACUAAAUGCCUAAAGAAUCUGCAGCUAUGCCAUAGCCAAAAAAAGGCUCAUUUGGCUGUCUUUCCAAGGACUAAACCAUUUUGAAGAUCCGAAUGUGCCACUAACAGUUCACGCGGCAUCAGAUCAUGAAUUUAUCUGAACGAAUUCAUGCCACUUCUGAUAUAAACUAAACAAACUCUGAAGCAUGGAGCUCUAGAAACAAAUCCACCAUCAAACAAAUUGCCACCCUAAUAAUCCACAAAACGGCCACCGGCUACAGCUACUUGCAACAAAUAACCAGGUAUCCACCCUUCGUAAAUCUCUAUCUCUGCAGCAAAACUAGAUCUAAACAAAAGGAAACUUGAAACCAAGAUAGCUAGGCAAAAGCUUAAAAAACUGGGGCGAUUUAUCCAAGCUUACAGCGGGGUGGGAGACCGGACGUGGGGAGUGCGAUUGAGGGGUCACGGAAGGUCUCCAGGUAGAACCCGCCAUCGGGGUGGCGCUGCAGAUCCAGAGCGGCGACGAUCUCCGCCGCCGUCUUCUCCUCCGCGGUCGAGAGCGCCAUGGAUUAUCUGGCUGCUGGGUUCUUUUUUGGAGUAGUUUGCUCAGCUCAGGUCAGGUGUCUGAUAACUAUCCAGUUAGCUUCGUUAAGCCGUUGAGCUGCGACGAGACUGCAGAACCAACGGCCAGGAUUUAUCCAUGUGUGAACAUGGCCUGUCUCGUUCUGUAAGGUGUAUAGCCACGCCCACGCAGAGGGAGACCAGAAAAGAACCGCCGCCCCCCCCGACCAGACCAAUCCAUCGCCACCGCGCCGCCCUAGGUCGUCGCCACCUCGCCGGCAACAAUGUCCCCUUCUGCCAUCUUCGUCUUCCUCCUCGUCUCUGCGCUGCAUAUGCUGGAGUGCAUCCUCGAUCUCGUGAAGAGGGUCGGUGCCAACUGCCAAGAAAACUCCGCGUUUUCCUCUCUCUCUCUCUCUCAUCUUGUUCAAGAUUAUUCUUUUGGGGAGAAAUAUUUGAUUUUGGAUGAAUUGAGGUCGUUAAGAAUGAAUCUUCACGGGGGGGAUUCUGCCUCCGUGAUUAUUGGAUCUGCCACCUACUGCAAUUCCGACAUUUUUUCAGCUCGUUCUGUUCCAUUAAUGUUGUCCUGACCUGUUGAUGUUCCAGAGGGGAUCCAUUUCUGAUGAACAGCUCAAACUGCGUGUACAGAUCACGGAACUUCUCAAGGAGGCUAGUGCUUUGUCAACGUAGGCAAUCCGGAUGCUAUUCUCUUAUGAAUUUGGCGAUUCUGAUAUACAGCUGUUGUUGAAACCUUUUUUGUGCUGCAGGCCCUCAACGUUUGCGCAAGCCGCAAAACUGAAGCGGUUGGCUGCUGCUAAAGAGAAGGAGUUGGCAAAGAGUAAGUGUUGAAUUCCUCAGACAGCGCUUGGGUUCUUGUUGUUCUUGUUUGAGCCGAUUCGGGCAGCUGAACUAUUUCUUUUGUUCAUUUUUUAGUGCAAGAGCUGAACAUUAAAGGGAAGCAGUCUUUAUAUGAACAGUAUGGAAAAGCUCUGCUGGCCACUAAGGUGCUUCAUGAUUCGUGCAGUUUAUGCUCUCAACUAUUUACUAUAUACAGUUUGAGGAGUCUCAUCAAAUCUGCAUGCUAGGUUCUAAUCUAUGUUGUGUUCAUUCUGUGGUUUUGGAGUACUCCAGUAACUACUGUUCCUAAGCACCUUCUCCAGCCCUUCGGUAAGUUAAUGCCCUUCACUUCACCUAGCUGGCAACUUGUUCUGCAGCCUUGUUAAUUUCCUGGUGUUCACACAUUUCAUUGUAUUAGUUUGUUUAUCAAACUGGGAAAAUUGUUUUUUUGGUAACGUUCACAAGAUAAACCCAAAAGGUAACUAUAUGCCUCCAGUGGAAGAAGGAUCCGCUAAAGAAACCAUGUUCCCCUUUUUUGUAGCUUCCAGUAUGAAAAUGAGCUAGAUCAGGAGUGAAUAUUGUCAUAUACUUAUAUUGUACUCCUUUUGGAUAACAAAUGCUGACGUUUCAGACAAUAAAAAAAAUGAGUUAGCAACCUACAUUUCUUGUCUGGAGUAGUUAACCAAAGGUUCCCAUCCUGAAAUGAUAAGCAUAUUUUAUAUAGGGAGAGUCCACUUUUUAUAAAUUUUGACCAAGAGUUAUUCAAGUUGUACACAAGCUUAUGAUUUAAAACUUUCAUCCAGAGAUAUGUGGUCAAAGUGCGUUUGAUAUUGGUUCUUUAGCAAACGAUAACAUUUUGUGAGUGAAAUUAAGGGUCAAAGUCUAUUUUAUUUGACUUUUCUCUGAUCAGAAUAUGCUUAUCAUUCUUGGACCGAGGAGUACUGCUGUAGAUUUGACCUGAUAUUAAAUAUAUCCCAUUUUUGUUUAUUGAAACUAAUUAUUAUACUAUACAAUCAUAAGUCAUCCGGAAGUAAUAGUUUAGAGGGAAUUUUCAGGAUGGAUGUUUUCCUGGAGAGGUGUAGAUGCUUCUACAGGCCGUGUUGUGGUGAGUACCGCUGAACCUCCAUGUGUUUAAAUGUUCUUGGCUUUAUCCUUGUUAAAAAUAGCGCCAUGAUUGAAACUGGGAGUCACUACUCACUGAACAAGAUAAACAGUUAAGGUUGCCAAAUUAGACAUGGUGAUAUCUAAUUUCUAAGUUCUAAUAAGUUCCAAAUGGUGCUUUUUUUUCUCAAACAUGAUGGAGAAUUGGGUGUCAAUGGGCAUUAAGAAGAAAAAUAGUUAUGUUCCGGUUUCAGGGUCUGUUUAGAUGUGCUCCACCAACUCCAAUAUGAUGCAGCUCCACAAAAAAACUUGGAGUUUCUGAAGUAGUAUCUCUUUAGAUGCUCCACAAAACAACUGCUCAAUUUCUCCUUUUUUGUAGAAGAGAGUUUGUGAAGCUGUAUUUGUUUAACUAGCGAAGUUGGAAACAGAGGAAGAUAGAGCAGAACAGUCCCAAACUAGUUACAUUGCACCGUGAACAAAUUUGAUUACUAACAAAUCUCCGGUCUAAUAAGCCCUAGUAGCCACUACAUUCAUUGUGAGAAUCAUGUGAUCGAGUCUUUCCGGUGAAUCUUUUUGUUACAUGAUAUUUUCUGAAACAAUUUUUGUUACAUGAUAUAUCCUCUGACAAGCCAAGCAUAUUUUUUGCAACAGUAAGUCUGGGAUUUUUUUUCAGAAAAAAUGUAGUUACAUUGCCGCGUAAUAUCUCAUUGUGCUGAUGCAGGUUGGAAUUCUCCCAUGGCUAUUUUUGACCUCUCAUGUCAGCAAGCUACUGAGCGAGAAACUUGCGCCCAUAUUUCUGCAUCCUUAGCUCCUCCUAACGACUUACUUUUGCCUCUGUUUUUGUUCUGCAGUUUUGUAUGAUCUCUCAAUCCAUCUACAUUUAUGUAGUUUCCAAAGGGAUUGGGAUUUUUGUAAUUCUAUAAAAGUAACGAGUAGAAUUUCCACUGUGUAGCCGUUCCUCAUACAUUUUAUUACCAUCAGAAAUGUUCCAAGAUAGCAACUCCUUAAAGUGAUUAAUCAGAGGUAGAAAUUCAGCUACAUAAGACUGAAGUCGCCACUCGAGAUAGCAACAAUAUUUUAAGAAAACAAAUAAUUUAGUGAUAAAUAGGGUGGAUCUAGAGCCCGGACUAGGUUGCAGCUUGGGUCCAAAAACCAAGUAGCACCAAAUAGUACUAUUAGUUUUUCAGCCUGGUACAUGUAAAGACCCCAGGAGAAAUGAUAAUACUAUGACUCAGAUGUUCGGACAGAGUGAUUACGUUGAACACUUGUAGCAUGUGAUUAGCCAGAAACCCACCAACUCACUCGCUGCACUCCUCCCCUCCCGUCGCCGACACUCGCCUCCAUGGUGGAUAAGCAAGUACAAUUUUUACCAAAGUCUCUAAUCCUAUUACAAUACAGAAGGAUAUAAAGAGGUUGGACUGUUGGAGGGUGACAAAAUGGAUGGAAAAAUAAAAGCAAUAAACUUACUAACAGGUGGGCCAUGUGUGUUGUGAGGAAGUAUUUUGGUGAAUAAUCCUGGAAAUGAUAUUAGGAUACCACAAAUACUGUACAAGUAUACAACUCUGCUGGAGAUGUUUUGUUGGUGAGCUGGCUCUGAUGCUCUUGACAUCCUCACACGCGCGCAUGCGCCUUCCCGCCAUCCUCGGGUGCCUGCCUAUUCCGGGCAACCUCGAAGAAACUGAGCCCCGAGAAAGCAAAACCACCCGCGCAACCAUCCUCCCAACCUUAGGGUCGCGCGCCCGACACGGCGGCCUCCCCUUUCCGGGCCCCCCUCACGCCAUGGCCCCGUCUCGCCACCGCCUCCUCCUCCUCGCCGUCGCCGCCACCAUUGCCGCAGCGCUCCUAGCUGCCGCGGAGAACAAAAUGACCGACGCGGAGGCGCUGAUGCAGCUCAAAACGUCCUUCACCAACUCCUCGUCGCUCUCGUCGUGGCUCAUCACCGACAAGGAAGGCAGCAAGUCCCCCUGCGCGCCGGGCUCCCACCACUGGCAUGGCGUGGUGUGCUCCGGCGGAGCCGUCACCGGCCUCCGCCUCAACGGCCUCAAGCUCGGCGGCACCAUCGAGGUCAACUCGCUCUCCAGCUUCCCGCGCCUCAGGUCCAUCUCCUUCGCCAGGAACAACUUCUCCGGCCCACUCCCCGCCUUCCACCAGGUCAAGGCGCUCAAGUCCAUGUUCCUCUCCGACAACCAGUUCUCCGGCAGCAUCCCCGACGACUUCUUCGCCAGCCUCAGCCACCUCAAGAAGCUCUGGCUCAACGGCAACCAGCUCUCCGGCUCCAUCCCAGCUUCCAUCUCACAGGCCACGUCCCUCCUCGAGCUCCACCUCGAUCGCAACGCCUUCACCGGGGAGCUCCCCGCCGUGCCGCCGCCGGCGCUCAAGUCGCUCAACGUAUCUGACAAUGACCUCGAGGGCGUCGUCCCGGAGGCGUUCCGGAAGUUCAACGCCAGCAGGUUCGACGGCAACGAGUACCUCUGCUUCGUGCCGACCCGCGUGAAGCCGUGCAAGCGCGAGGAGCAGGUCGCGACCACCAGCUCGUCCAGCCGGGCUGCCAUGGUGCUCGCCGCGCUGCUUCUCUCGGCCGUCGUCAUGGUCGUCGCCCUGCGCUUGUGCUGCUGCAGCCGUGCCCGCAAGCUCGACAUGGACGGCCUCCAAGUCGAGGAGAAGAAGCCGCCCGCCGUCAAGCAGGCGCAGGCGCAGUCGGCGUCGUCGGCACCGCAGAAGCGGAGCUCCUCGUGGCUCGGGAAGAGGGCAGGGUCGUCGCUUGGCGGGUUUGGACACCGGCGUGCCGCCUCUGCCGCCAAGGUGGACGAUCUGAGCAGCAGGUCCGGCGGGGAUCUGGUGAUGGUGAACGAAAGCAAGGGCGUGUUCGGGCUCACCGACCUGAUGAAGGCGGCCGCCGAGGUGAUCGGGAGCGGCGGCGGCGGGCUCGGGUCGGCGUACAAGGCGGUGAUGGCCAACGGCGUGGCCGUGGUGGUGAAGCGCUCCCGCGACAUGAACCGCACGACCAAGGACGCGUUCGAAGCCGAGAUGAAGCGGCUGGGCGCGAUGCGCCACGCCAACCUGCUGCCGCCGCUGGCGUACCACUACCGCAAGGACGAGAAGCUGCUGGUGUACGAGUACAUCCCCAAGGGCAGCCUGCUGUACGUCCUCCACGGCGACCGGGGCAUGGACUACGCGGCGCUGGACUGGCCGACGAGGCUCAGGGUGGCCGUCGGCGUCGCGCGCGGCACGGCGUUCCUCCACACGGCGCUCGCCGGCCACGAGGCGCCCCACGGCAACCUCAAGUCGUCCAACGUCCUCCUCGCGCCGGACUUCGAGCCGCUCCUCGUCGACUUCGGCUUCUCGGGCCUCAUCAGCCACAUGCAGUCCCCGAGCUCCCUGUUCGCGUACCGCGCCCCCGAGUGCGUCGCCGGCCACCCCGUGAGCGCAAUGGCCGACGUCUACUGCCUCGGCGUCGUCCUCCUCGAGCUCCUCACCGGCAAGUUCCCGUCGCAGUACCUCCAGAACGCCAAGGGCGGCACGGACCUCGUCAUGUGGGCGACGUCGGCGAUGGCCGACGGCUACGAGCGGGACCUGUUCGACCCGGCACUCAUGGCGGCGUGGAAGUUCGCGCUGCCGGACAUGACGCGCCUCAUGCAGGUGGCGGUGGACUGCGUCCAGACGGACCUGGAGAAGCGGCCGGAGAUGAAGGAGGCCUUGGCGAGGGUGGAGGAGGUGGCGGCGACGGCUUUAGCCAGGGUGAGGGAGAGGCCGCCGCAAGCUGAGAGCGGCGGCGAGGGCCAGGGGAGUGCGCCGCCGUCGGCAGACUCGGCUAGCAGAAGCUCGCACACCUCGUACGUGCGAGAAGGGUCGAUGCAGCGGAUCACAAGCGUCGGCGAGCGGUCCUUGCGGCGAGGAAGCAACGACCCCUCGUACGGGUACGGCAUCUCGUGAGACGACGACAUGCAGGGCAUGCAGCUAGUGGGCCAGUCAGAUUUUGCGAGUCAACCAUUUUGCUCCCUUUUGGUGCAGUUUGUAUCUAUGUCCUGCUCAAUGUAGCUUGAACAAUGUCCAACUAGCAACCAGAAGUGAAUUGUACAGAAGAAUUUCAGCUUUUUCUGUCAUGCAGGUAGAGUUUGUUUCCAUAACACGAGUUUAAAUGGUGCUGAGUAAAUCCUAAAACCAAGUGCAUCAACAAAUGCAAAAGUUUAUAGUCAAAACAUUAAUACAUUAUCGAUCUAUUCUGACUCAACAACAACAAACAAAAAUUACAAUUUGUGAAUUGACAAUAAAAACCUUGAGUUCGAACAAUAAAUAAACCUUGUGUCAUUAUGCAUAUCAACAAUAAAUAAACAUAAUAAGAUGGGAAGAAAGUUGGACCAAAUCUGUACUUGUCAAAUCUUGAGGAUAAAACUUUGCAAGGUUUUUCCUUGUCAUAAGAAGCAAAUGAAUUCACCGGAUUCAAAGCAGCCAUGCAAACAAGUAGCUCUGUAUUAACUUGAAUACUCGAUCAAACCUGCCACAAUGUCAUAAGGAUAAAAUGAAUUAUUAUGAAAGGAAGUAAAGAAAAAAAAAAGAUGAAAAGUAAUAAAAAUAUUAAGCAAGGUUUAUCGAACCUGCUAUUGAGCUCUUAGAGUUGCAUAUCAACGACACUUAGAAAUAUUAGUAUUUUUGUGUAUAUGUUUGGUCAAACUUAAAAGGGCUUGACUCCCACAUAGGGGGUAUUACAAAUCAAUCUCUUGGUGGAAGCUUGGAAACACGUUCCAAAAUGUGCAUUUUUGGUCACUCGGAAAAAUUAAAACAAUUGACACCUAUAGUGCAAACUCGUCUUAUACAAAUUCAAACGAAAAUGACAAUUUAUUGUGCAUGUGCAAUAUUAGACAUACCUAUUUUCCCAUCAUUGUGUCCUCGACAAUCUGAGUAUUAACUGAGCUGUCAGCCUGCCACACUUGAAGUACAUCAUCUGAAAACAAAACCUAGACUUCAUGAUGCGACAACGAACCAUCUUGCCAUGCUCGAGAAUCACAAGGCCACCGAAUCUGAGCACAUUAGUGAAGCAGGAGUCAUUUUCCUUCUCACCGACCCUCACCAUUUGUUUGUAGAAGCUCCCAGCUUCCAUGGCAAGGCCACACUGCAGCAAUCACCAAUCAUACUGCCGCACCAGUGCGCUCCACAUGAAAGCAUUCGAGCGCAGCCCAAGGCACACUGCGUAGGUGCGCACCUGCCGAACAAUAUCCAAAGCUUGUUCAUCUCUGUAAUGAAUGAUAAAAACAAGAUAUGUAUCGGGAAGGUCAUAAAUUUCAAAGAAGAGAUGCUACAACAGUAGUUUUACCGGUAUGAGCUGGUUACUCAGCGGUGCUCAUUGCUCAGUAAAUCUUGAAGAACAUGAACCACGUCGUUUGUUCCACUACAGAACCAACCAUAACCAAUGCUAAAAUAGCAGCAAUGCCAUAGUUCCUUCUUUAUUCCCCCCACCCCCUAUCAGAAAAUUUUCAUAUAGAUGCCGGGUGCUGCUUGAGGAAAUACCAAGUUGAAGCAAAUAAUAACAGGCCGCGACUAAUCCAAUACUACUUUCAUGUUUUGUUCCUGUUCCCUAACAAACUUUCCUCUUUGUGCUCUUCUUUUAGAUUUUCUUGCUGUAACAAUACCCUUCUUUUUCAUUCUCUCCAGUUUUUCUUUCCUUCCUUUUAUAUCAGCCUUGAUAACCUCGUCCCUACAUUCUUCUGACAAAAGAGCUAACCUGGAAAACUUUUUUGGCCAUACUUCCCCAAGUUUCUCAUGUAUAUCUUUAAAUGCCGAUACAAGACCAGCUCUCAUGAAAUAUCCUUCAAUCAGCUUCAUUGAGUUUAAUUUAGGAAGAGCUGGAGCAUCUUUUAACUCAAGGUCCAUGCAGAAAGGAGAAUCUUUCAGCCACAUCUUAAGAGAGUAGGCCUUUACCACAAAGCGACCUGACCGAGCUCUACAUGGUAAGAACGGGGAGCCCAUUUCCAAAAGGUAGGCUCUGAUUGUUUUACGCAGGGAUACCAUGUUAUAUUCCCCCUCCCCUGUGACCAGUACAACAGAUUUGGGAGAUUCUGGUGAACCCUGGAGUGAAGCAUCCUGAAUUAAAACCAGAGUAGGUCAGGUGUCAUUUAAAUAAAAGAUGAAACUCAAGUCCAUUUAAACAAAAAAAGAAUGGCUACUGCAGGACUAAGAAGAACUCAAUAAGUUCAUAAACCUGUUGCAAACAUUCAAAGAUGUUUUCUUCAAAAUUCUUUAAAAGAUUUUUAGGUGUUAUUAACUGAUGUCUCCAAUUAUAUUUGUGUUCAAAGCUGAUAGACUAGAAAACCUAUAAUGGCACAUAAAAUGAAAAGGUAUACCAAAAUAGAAAACUGUCAAACAAAUGAAAAGGCUCUACUGCCCACUAUAUCUCCUAGAUGUAUGCUGCAGUAAUUACCGACUUAUUACCUUCAGCAGUUUGCAAUAUUACAUCAUUGCAAGGUGAAAAUCACCAGUACUAGUGUAAUUGGAACUAACAAAGAACUUAAAUAGCAUAUGUCCAUCCUCAUUUUAAGCUUAACUUCAUUCACGUUAUUCUUAUUACUAUGUAACUGAUGUGAAAACAUCGAAACAAAAGCUGAAAAUUCAUGUAGUGGGAUUCUCAGUGUUCCAGUUACUUUACUGUCAAUAGUCAUGACAAAAUAUCAGAGAACAAGACAAUAAACCUAAAACCAUAGUCAAAAAGUUCCCAGGUUGAAUGAGCUCGAGGAACAUGGUACACUACUUGCGAGCGGUUUUUACAUGGCUGGGUCGAAAAGAAACCGUGUACCCGGGUCGAAAGUCAAUGACUUCAACCCCAUUUCCUGUGAUUAAGCCUAAAACUGAUGGUAAACAAUUAUUUGUUGAAGAGCAAAGCAAAGAUGUUUCUUUACCACUCCUAUGUAUAUGAAUGCAACAUCAUAUGAAAGGUAUUAUUUAAGCACAUACUUGCAUGUGAUCAAGCCACAAUGUAAGACCAACAAGUGCAGCCCCAGCAGACAGCUUCCGGAAGUCAGCGCCCCAGUCCUUUUGUGCCACACUACGCCAUUCACAAAAUAAAAUGUUAAAUGGUAGAUUAAUUCCAUAUUGACACUUUGCAGAUAUCAUAAUCAGAAGUAGAACAUACUAAAACAAGAAAAAAAAUGCCAAGAUGAGAUGGUGUGUCAUAAUCAUCUUCAGAUAUGAAUAGAAAAAAUAGAUAAAUAUUGUUACUCAAAUACCUUAACUCUUAUCACACACAAAAUAGAUCUUUGACUUAACCUGAAGCCUAGGACCAUAUGGCCUUGUCAUAGGCAACUGAAUGAGAACUAAGAAACAUAGGUAUUUGUUGACUGGCUCUCUUUCUAUCAGAUUAAAGUUCUAAAACAUCACCAGAAUGUAGCAUGACAUGUAGAUUUCUUGGAAAGAUAUUUAUAGUGCUAUUGACGGAGCCAUCGUUAGCAGUGAUUAGUUAGCACUUUGUUUUUACAAAAAAUAUUUUGAUUGUUUGAGCCAAAGUUACUAUGUGUAACUUGAAAAGGCAAUGCCUAACCGGUGAUGCAAUUUUAUAUAUGCACAUGAAAUACAUAUAUUUCAACCCCAAGAAAUUGUAUGCUACUACAAAUGAAAUUUUGCGGUACAGAGAUUGCCAUGGAUACCGAAAGACAUUAUCGCGGUAUAUGCUUCUCUCUACUGCCAAUUGGAAAAUCCGUGAAGCUGUUGCUCGGCAUUCAAAUGCCCACAACAAAUCUUCUACUGCAUUUACAAAGUUCAAAGCAGCAGAAUCUUCUAAUGCUUCAAGCUCUUCCAGAUAAUUGGCGAUCUCACUUAACAGUGAUGGUGUCCUUUCAGUCAGGAGCCUGCAAAAGAUUCAAGAACCAAAGACCAAAACAUGAACAAAGAAAAAAAAUGUCAUGUGAAUGUCCAUCUCUUUAACAUAAUCAAGUAAAGUAUUAACCUAAUGGGGAGGUCAAAUCCACAAUCCUGUAGAGACUUUAGAAGAAGAAUAGCAUCAGCAGUUUGCUCACACAAACUAGCUGCCCUAAUGAAACAUGUCCAAACUUGAUGAUCUGGUUCUACACCAUCUCUUUUCAUUUCCAGCAGUUUUUUUAUUCCAAGAUCGUAGUCACCGUUUUUCAGGUAGGCAUCAAAGACAGUACUGUAUGGUAACGUGCUGACUUCCAAACUGGAAGAUUUCAAACUGUUCAGUACAUUCUCAGCUUCGUGAGGUUGCCCAGCAGUCCCGUAAGAAGUCAUGAGGAUAUGCAUAGUGGCAAUUGUUGGCUCUAUGCCAUCCUCUUUCAUUACUGCCAGCAAGUUCUCAGCUUUGGAGUGGUUGCCAGCAUUCCUGUAAAUUUUCAUCAUCAUAUGAUAGAUAGAUCUAUUCAAUUGAUAACUCUUAGAUCGCAUUUCCUCAAAAAGCUGGUCAGCUUGCUCCCUCAGCUCUGCUUUUGCAGAUGCAGCAAGCAAGCUUUUGUAGGACUGCAACUUUGGUGUCAGGCCUCGUUUGCCCAUUUCAUUCAAUAGUGUAAAACCUUCUUCUGGCCUCAAGCUUCUACAGUACAUGACUAUCAAUGUAUUGUAUGUAUCUUCAUCAGGCUCUAAGCCAGCUUCGAGAAUACUUUGAUAUACUUGUGUUGUCCUAUCAAAGUUCCCAGCAGCGGUGUACAUAUUAAGAAGAGAAUUAAAUAUAGAAAGAUCUGGCUUGAACCCUGCUCCCUCCAUCUCUGCAAUCAUCAACUCAACAUCCCUGAACCGGUUGUGAUGGCAGAGCAAGGAAGUCAUACUUCUGUAGAGGUGCAUAUUUGGCAGGUAUCCUGCAGCCUUCAUUCCAUUAUAGAUUUUCAUUACCUCGAAUACAUCCCCAGCUUUUGCAAAAGCAUCAAGCAUAAGGAGCACUGUACUUUUGCUGAUCUUGAAGUCCAUAUCUUGAAGCUCUCCUACAACUACAUACAACUCAUCCAAUCUGCCAUCAACAAUCAAUGCCCUCAUCAUUCCAUUAACUGAAUCAACAGUUGGCAGAGGACCUGUUUUAAUCAUAUUAUCAAAGACUGCCCUUGCUUUCUCAUAAAGUCCACUCUCUGCAUAUGCAUGUAUCAAAGCAUUCCAAAUCCUUCUAUCGAUACCUGAUGCUUGCCUCAGCCCUUUCACCAAGAUUUCUGCUUGCUGCCAGAGUUUUAUAUUCCCAUAUGCUUCAAUUAUAAUUACCCUACACGAGAGAAUGUUUAAUGGAAUACCAGAUUGCAAAGCAUCAUCCAUCAACCCAUGUGCUGUUUCUGGAAAUCCCAGUUUACAGUAGGUGGAAAUUAUACUCUCGUAAAUAUUUUUAGAAGCUUCUAUGCCAAUAAACUGCAUGUCGCAGAACACUUGACAAGCUUCAGAAAAUAACUCAGCUUCCACGAGGCAUGUAAUCAAGUGCUCAUACAGGUUACAGUUUUGACCAGGGUAUUUUAACAUUAACCUUUGACUGUACUGUUCAUAGGCAGAAAUGCUCGUCUGUUUUCUGCAUAAAAGUAUGAUGGAACAUUCUGAUAUCAAAUCCUGGGAACUGGAAACAUGGUCACGGAUGCAUUCAAGCAAAGAGAGACCUUCCUCAUGCUUUUCUGUCAUUACAUAUGCAUUCAUAAUGGACCAUAAGCUCUUAGCAUCAGGCUUGUAUCCCUGGAGACAUGCCUUUUUUAAUAGUUUACCACCCUGGGAAACACACCUCGCCUUGAUAAGUAUUGUUGAUAUUACUCCCAGACUCAUUUGACAAAGUAAUUCCAUGUCUUGGAUAAUUUCUUCAAUCUCCUCACACUUAUCUUCCUUUGCAAGUGCAACAAGCAAGACCUGGUACAUGUCAUCAUCUGGCCUAUAAUUAUCAUUCAUCAUUGUUCGAUACAGACGCAACAUUUUUUCCGUCUCACCUGACCUUGCAAAAACAUCCAGCAUAACCAAGUAUGCUAAACGAUCAGGUUUGACACCUGAUGCAAUCAUGCAAUCAAAUGUCUUCUCCGCGUCAGCCCGCCUCCCACCUUUGGCAUAUGCACAAAUCAGAGCACUAAAAGCUACUAAAGUUGGCUUCAAUCCCGCAUCUGCCAUGUCCUCCAGUACCUUCCCUGCCUCAGCAAUCUUAUCCAUCUUCCCCAAAGAAUCAAUCAUGACCGUAUACGUCACAGCAUCUGGAGUACAGCCCACAGCCCUCAUCUCAUCAUACAGACCCACUGCUAAGUCAAGCCUGCCCAUUUUCCCAUACAUAUGAAUCAUGGUGUUGUAUGUUAUUUCAUUCUUCUUGAACCCAGCCUUAACCAAUUCCUCACAUGUGUGCUCCACCUUGUCAACAUUCCCUUCCUUUGCAAAAGCAUAGAGAAGAGAAUUGUAAGUGACCGCGUCAGGCAUAAAACCCUUCUCCACCAGCUCCCCAAACAGCCGCUCAGCCUCUUCAGCCUUCCCACACCGGCCAUGCACCGACACCAUUGCAUUGUAUGUCCACAAAUCUGGCCGGCACUCUGAAGCUAUCAUCUCCUCAAACACCGUCACAGCAUCUUCCAGAUUAGAACUCUGUGAGCAAGCACUGAUGAGCGUGUUAUAAGUGAUAACAUCUGGCCUUAGCCCAGAUUGUCGGACUUCAAAUAGGAGGUCAAGGGCGACGCCAGCAGCCAAACACCCAGACUUAGACCUGGCAUUGAUUAGAGUAUUGAAGCUGACGAGGUCAGGAUCGAUCCCCCGGUCGUGCAUUGUGUCAAGCAGCUGCCGUGCGUCAUCGAAUCGGCCAGAGCGUGCAUAAACGCCCAUCAUGGCAUUGAACACCUGAACAGUGGCGCCCUCUCCAGCGAAGCGGAGGAAGACCUCCUCCGCGAUCGAAUCCUGGCGCGCGCGGCCGAGGACGCCAAGGACGACGGCGACGGCGCGUGAAGCCGGGGCGGUGCUCCGGGCGAGCCACUCGAAGGCAUCCAGCGCGCGCCGCCAGGAGCUCUCCCCGACGGCGCGCACGACGAAGGCGACCUCGUCCGGCGUUGCCCGAGCGCCGUCGAGCACGUCGUCGACGGGCGCCCCGGGAGGCAGCGCGAGGACGGCGUCCGCGAGCCCGGCCACGCGCGCGCGCCAGUCCUGCGCCCGCCGCAGCGCGAGCUUGCUCAGCUUCUUCACCCUCCCGCGAUGAGCACGCGCGUCCAGUGGCUCCACGAGUGAAGGUGCGGAGGCGGAGGCGGAGGUCGCCGCGGGGUCCUCCACUUCCUGGGGUGGUGGUCUGGCGGGGACCGGAGGUGCCGCGGUGACGGUGGCGGGGAAGCGCGGCGCGGGGAGGUGCGGGAAGCGGAGGUGAGGCCAUCGAACGGAAGGGUCGGCGAGAGGGUAGUCGAAGUCUUCGGAAGCAGAUGACGCUGCCGUAGCGGUGGCGGUGCCCGCUCGGCGGAGAUGGCACGUGAAGGAGGAAGAAGAGGAGAGGAAGGGUAAUGGUGAGGAGGAGACUGCCAUCGGAGACAUGAGCUUUGGGUCCUCGGGAUGAUGGGAGAUGGAAGAGCACUAGGCGCGCAUGGAGACGAUAAGGAAGAUAUUUUUCAAGCAGAUUUUUCUGACUUCGUGUCUCCAUAUAUGAACGGUAUGAAUUUGAAUAUUUGUGCAAUGAUACUUUGGAAGUGUUUAGUUACCCAUAGAAUCCGAAAUACAAAAUACCAGCUACUUUAUAGUGAUAAAAUACAAAAAUAUUAAAAUUUUUAGGAUCAUGUUUAGUUCGAUCCAGAAUGUAGAAUUUAUUGUUCUCAUGAAGCCUGUUGAGGCUCAUUUUUGUUUUUGUUUUUUUGUCUCUUGAGGUCAAAAUUCAAAAUAAAGAAUAACUACCUUUUUGUUAAAAAUUUUGCAUAGUGUUUAGUUCCAUUUUAUAAAAUGAUGGACCAAAAUCCAAAAUUUUUUGGAAAAAAAUGAGAACUAAACACCCCCUUUCAAGAAUCUCACACAACUACGAUCGCAAAAAAAAAAAUCUCACACAACUAAAAAGAAUAAAGAAAAAAAAUACUAUUUUGGUACGAUAAAAACUUAGUCUCACCUUCUUGUUCUCCUCAUGUGAUCGUCUUCUCGUGAAAAAUUUACCACCCGGCCACGCUCCCGAAAAAAUUUAUCGCUAGUCGUGAUCAAAUCCUAUCCUAAAAUCAUGGACCGUGAAGAACUCGUGUUUGUGAAUUUUCACCUUCCUAAAUCUCUUGGCAGGAGGUCGAAGAAAUUUAGGAAGAAAUUUAGGAAGGUAAAGAUUCGCAGGCACGAGAUUUUUACAUGCCGUGAUUCUAGAAUAGGAUUUGACCACGGCCGACAUAACGUAAGGUUUUCAUCGUGACUGAGGAGACGAUCGCAUGAGGGCAAGAAGGUGAGGCAAAGUUUAUUCUUUUUAGUUCGUCUUGAAGGUCUUCCACAGGACUUGCACGCAGCUCCGCUCCUAGUUGCUCCAUUAUAUAAUACCCUUAAUUAGUUAAUAAAUGAUGAUAUUUAUUUGUCUCCUCUUCUUUAUGCUAAUCCUUAAUAAUAUUUAUAUAAUUUAUGACUAAUAUUUAUGUUAUCUUCUCUCUCUUGUUCUUGUCAUUAUUGUUGUGGUUUUUUUACCUACAUAACAUUCUAGUUGGUCCACACAACGCAAUUUGCUAGUUAAUGUUAAUUAGUGUUUUUUUUGUUAUUUCUCCCUCCCUAUUAAUCUCUAAUGUCAUCUAUAUACUUUAAGAAUUAAGAAUACCUUUCUUUAUCUUCACUCUUUUUUCCUGUUAUUACAGUGAUUUUUUUCUAGUAAAUUAGAUUAGUGGGAUGUAAAUCGGAGUUUUAGAGUUAAUUAAUUUUAUCCCUUUCUCUAUAAUUUUUAGUAUCAUUUUAGACUUUUAACUUCUUUAUCACAAAACAAACAUCGAUUUGGUUAUUAUCUAUACUCUUGGCAAGUCAAUAUAUAUAUAUGUAUUUCAUCAUGUGUGGUUAGCGUUGGUAUUGCCAAAAGGUUCCCUCCUCCCCUAUGGUUAAAUCCUGGCUCCGCUCCUGCACGAUGGGUCACGCGGGUAGUACGUUGGGACUACGGUCAAAACAAAAUUUCAAUGAUUGCUAGCUUAUCUUCACAUCUUAUGCAUCGUGCAGUCCUAAAUAUGUGCACCACACUGUCAGCAAUCAGCUCACAAUCCUAAUAUAUAGGCCCAACUACACAACCAGACACAUCGGCAAACAAUAGGCAUGCCUCUAGGGCCUUUAAACGAAUGGUCCGAUGAGCUAUUUAGGCUAGUUUUGUAGCACGAUAAAAAGGAUAGUGAUAGUAGUAAUAGUUAUAUGUACUUGGUUCUUAGCGACAACUUCAAUACUACAACCAAGCUUCAACUCCACUGACAAUAAUGUUUGUGCUUCGACUAAUGUUGCCAUAUCAGAGGCAAUAACCUUUUUGUGGUGUCAAUACUAGAAUAGUGGAAUUAAAAGUUCACAGUCAAUCUAACAUGCUAACUUGCUAAUCAAAUAAGCACUCAUGAUUAGUCUGACUGUUGCUGACAUCAUAUCAUGAUAUCUAGCAAAGUUCAGCUAGGCGCUAGGCGGAAUCUAGGCGCUGACCCUCCGCCUAGCGCCUAGUCGGGAGUAAUCGCACCUAGGUGUUUCUAGGCGUUUUGCUAGGCGGUGAUUAAUACAUGUAUAAAUACUUAAAAGAAAAGAAAAACAAUAGAUAAGUAGUAGUAAUGGAAGGGAGAAAGAAUAUAAGGCCCAUUUAACAGCCCACUUUAGUUCCCGCAAGCUGCGACCGCGUGACUCCCUGUCUCCCGCAUCGCGUCGUCCCCGUGACUCGCGACGCGAGCGACUCUGCCCCCCCCCCCCCCCCCCGCCGCCGCCGCCGCCCUCUCCCGCUGCUCCCUCUCUCUGCGCACGCCGUCGCCCGCGCUGCUCCUCCCCGCCGGCGACUGUCUCCUCCUCGCGCCCGCCGCCGUCUGCGCACGUCCGAAGCUCCGCAGGAUGCUGUCCACCCCCACCGGCGCCGCCGCGGCCACCUAGGUUCCGCCUACCCCCAUAGGCGAGGCGGGGAGCCUCUGAUUCGCGACUAGUCAAGCGCCUAGCAUAACUAUGAUAUCUAGGAUGUAUAUGUAUAUGAUUUCUCGCAAGCAUUAAAGUUGAAUUAUUCUUGUAGAGCACUAGAGCUAUCAUGAGCAAUAGCGUAAGAUCUAGCAUGUAUAUGUAUAUGAUUUCUCGCAAGCAUUGAAGUUGAAUAGCUGCUAGAGCUACCAUAAGCAAUAGCGUAAGAAUAUACAAUUUGAUUAGCCUUAUCCAUAAUAACCUAAACUAGCGUUGGUGUUUCUUUAUUGUGCACGUACAACAAACCGCAUUUGAUUGUGUUUGAUUUUGUUACACUUUACAUGUAGUCACUUCUAUGUCCUAGUUAAGUUCUCAUGUUUCUAGGGUUUUUUUUUUGUAUGCACAUUGGUUUACUUAAACUUGCAUUGCGUAACACUGACCUAAUUUGACAUACUAGCUAAACUAGCAUAAUAUGCAGACAAUCAAAUUUGAACAAAUUAAAUUAAUACAGUCUCAAUUCUAGAAACCACAAGUAGUUUCUAUGUUUAUUAAUUUUUAGACAUUAUAUAUAGAAACUAGGUUUCCAAUGGAUAGUUACAUAAUAAUCUUUUGACCAAUCACAUAUGUUCUCUCUUUAUUGACUUUCAAUCAUAUCUCUUCGUGUCUUGGUUCUCGCGUAGACAUGAUUUCUUCUCUAAAUCACGAGACGAAUCUUUUGAUACUAAUUAGUCUAUAGUUGAAUAAUAUUUGCCACAAAUAAACGAAAGUGCUACAGUAGCGAAAUCCAAAAAAAUUUCACAUCUCAACAAGGCCUUAGUUUCUUGGGAGUGCCCUAGUAGAGUCAACCCAUAGAACCGUCGAUGCUAGUGUGUACAGAACAUGACAAUACUGUCGUACUUUUCCCGUUUUAACGUCAGUGUCUCGGCGUCUCGCUGAGAGAGAUGACAAACCAAACAACCACAGGGCUGCUUGGCACCUUUGCUGGUUUGCCUUGCAUUUCACAUGGCCAUGUUUGGUUUGCUUGCUCCUGCAGUAGCACCAGCAGAGCUGCAGAGGUUCAGUCUGGCAGAGAACGAGAUGGAUGCAGUCAUCAAGCUUGCCCAGGCGGGAGAGCCAAUUUGUGGCUCGCCUCACUGGCCAAGGAAAUCCUUGCUGAGCCAAGCAAAGCAAGCUUUUUCUGGUGCCACCAAACAGCUGGUCUCGCCAAGCGCUGGGCAAGAGGGCCAAGCAUGACGUACGAUGCUAGUGUGGAGAUGACAAACCAAAGUGUCAAGUGUAUCAGACUGGUUUAAGUAGAUCCUAGGAAUGCUGAGGAUGAAGACAUGAAGAACGAUUUAGCCCUGUUUGGGACUGCUCCAUUCUGCUCCGCUGCCAUCUUUACUAGUCAAACAGGUACACCUCUACAAACUUUAGCUUCAAAAGAAAGGUGGAGUUAAGGGAAAAAUCUAGGUGUUUUGUGAAGCAGUAAAGGGAUACUCCAGACACUCCAGUUUUUUUAAGAGCUACUCAGUGUAAGUUUUGGUGGAGUGAGGCCCAAACAGGUCCAAAAAGGAAUGAAGAUGCAGCAACUGUAGAGAUCAAUAGCAACAAAUGGCCCCAAAUGCAUCUUAGUAUUCAGCAACAAACAAGUGUCAAGCCACUUACCUUGCACAGCAGCGGACCGAUGGAAAAGGAAUGUGAAUUGAAUGAAGCUAUGUAUAAUUUUACACUGUAUUCUGUUGUCAGGCUAUUCUCCUGCUGCCUCUUUUAAUAUACAGCUACAAGGAAUUACAGUGCGUGCUCCAACGACGCUUUUUUUUGUGUUUUCGUACAUCUCUUUUCUCCUUUUUUUUUUGUUGAUGUUAGUACACCAUCACUCGGAGCAGACCCGCCUGUGGCUGCGUGUACUGGAGGCCUUCAUCCAGGAGGAACUGCUCCACAGCUAUAGGCAACCUCGCAGUGCGAGAGCCCUUGGUGUGGUGGCCCGUUCCAACGCAAACCAUGACUUGCAUCCUCUCCCCUGCUGCCCUCGCUGCGCUCUUCAAGGCAGUGAGCUCACCCUUCAGGAUGUGGAUUGCUUCAUUCACAUGCAACCCAUGUAAAUCAAUCAGGCGGUCACCCCCACGUUGGGAAGAAACAGGAUUCCUGCAUGUCAGAAAACGAUAAUAUGAAACUAAAUUAGACUUCAGUCCAAAUUAGACUUCAGUAUUACAUAAGCUGGAACGACCAAAAGUCAACAUGUAAAACAGCUAUCAGACCUUUGUCGGUAAAUAGCUUCUCUAGCUUUCUCAUGAGCUGAUUUCAUUUGCGCAUUGUAUGCCUGCCCCUUCAUGCUGAGUUCCUUCGCAAGAGCCUUGUUGCCAACCAAGUAAGCCUGUCUAGCCUGCCAAGUGUAUCCUUAUGUGAAUACCUUAGCAACUCAUAAGAUAACAAAACUUAAAAACAGUAUGUUACAGACAGUGAACUCUAUUCAUGAAAAACAUGAACCUUACUCGAACAGGCAAAAGAAAUUGCAAGUGUAGGCUUCAGUAUCCAUAUGCAAUAGUGCUUACCUGCUCGAAGCACGCAUUUCGGACCCUAGCAAAAUCACGAGCUUCUCCUCUUGAUUCUGAGUACAUAUUUGCUGGUGGAUUGCAUAUACAGAGACAAAUUAAUCAGCACAUAAUUGGAGCACAGUAAAGGAACUCAAAAGAUAGCAUAAUUCUCCCUGAUUUCUUGCCAUUCUCGAUUUUUUCACUAAAUGAAGAAAACAAGCAAGAGCAAUCCUCAUCCAGACAUGAAACAUAAAGGAGGGAACUGUGCAAUUUGGACCAGAAAGACUUCAGAGUAUAUUAGAUGAGUAUUACCCACUGCAUCGCCAGUCUCAAGCCAUGGGGCAACUCUUGCACUGCUGAUACUUUGAAACUUAUUCCCAGAUGAUUGCUUAGUGCUAGAACUGUACUGUUUGGGUACAGAAAGAGCUGAAACACCAUUACCAUAUUCAGGACCUUUUUUAAACUUCCACUGGCCAGAAUUCUGCGACGCAAGUUUGCGAACAGCUGAAACAAAAUCACCAGCUCCAGUAGGCAUUGCAGAUGAACCACGCCCAUUAAACAUGCCAAGUACAUCCACGUUACCCUUACUGAAACCAUUUUGGUUCUCGACACCUGGAAGUGCAGGGAAAUCCCCAGUGCUAAAGUUUGGUGUGCUGUGGGCCAGACUCAGUGUGUGAUUGGGUGUAGCAUCAACUUGCAUCUGAAAAAUCAGGAAAAACAUAAUUAUGGAUAGUGCCAAAAUGUUCUGGAUCUGCAAUGAGCGUUUUGAAAUCAAUGCAUAAUUGCAAUUGAAGAUGUGAGGAUCCAAAUUUUCUUUUUGGUGAAGAGUACACUUAAACAGCAUGAUAACGAUGUUGUGCAACUAGUCCAUGGCAUGCUUGAUGAGCUCCACAAAAAAUUUGCUAGUAUAUGGUUCUUGUCUAACAUAUGGCAACCCAAUAACAUUUUGAUUGAAAUGGUGGGAGACGUAUUCCAUUGCACAUCAUAAUUACUCCCUCUGUUCCAAAUUGUAAGACAUUCUGACUUUUCUAGAUACAUCUAGUAUCUAGAUAUAAUGUAUAUCCAGGUGCAUCGCAAAAGUUAUGUAUCUAGGAAAGCCAGAACAUCUUACAGUUUGGAACAGAGCGAGUAUUUCCAAACCACUUUGAUAAUAAUUCUAAAGAACAAUGAUCUGACUUCUGAGCAUAAGAGCAUACAUUUAAUUACUUCGCUUUUUCUGGUAAAGCUAAUUCUGAGUGGAUAUCUGGAAGACUUAAAUUAGUGUUGCAGUAAGGAAAGAAUUACCUCUAGCUGGGUGAGGAUUUCAAUGGUAUGGUUGAAAUCACACCCAUUUGCGUAGUACAGCUCUGCAAGGCUCUCUGCUGAAAAUCCAGGGAACUGAGAUGCUAAGUACUCCAGGGGAGCAACAAGGCCAUCUGAUGAGGCAGCAUACUCACUAGCAAAACUAUCAGCAAAGCUUACACCAGUUUCAGAAUCAUAAUGAAGGUCCUGAUUUCCAUUAGCAAUAUGAAGAUCACCAAUAUAAUUUUGCUCCCAGUUGGUUGAACCCAGAUAAUUAUCUUCAUACAGCAGAUUCGUAUGUUCCAGUUCCAGGCCCUUGGUAGCUGGAGAAGAUAAUUCGUGAUGUUCUCUUGAGAAGCGACUGGAUGUUGUCCCAUAAAAGGGGGGUGCAUUCAAGGACAAUCCAACAAGGGACAGUUCUUCAGGCCCUUGUUCAACUUUCUCAAAAGAAGUGAAGUCUGGAAUAAUGUCAUCGGGUAGCUGCUUACGCCAAAACUGGUGUGCCUCAUCAUCCGAGUUAUUAGACUUUGAUGACUCGGACCUAUCUAGGAUUGUUUUUCCAGAAGAAACCCUAAAAUCUGACUUAGUUACAUCUGGAACUGUAGUACUUCCAAGAGAUGGUUUAACAAAUGAAGGUACAAACUCGGCUGCAUUGGGAUUUAAUGAUGUGACUUUACUAGGUAACACUGAACACGCAUCUCCACUAUUUGAAACAACUUUAUUUAGUGAACUCAUCUUAACAGAAAUUACAUGCAAUGUUACAUGUACAAGAGAGAUGCGUUCAACAAUGAUUUACCCAAGCCCUGCAAAGAAACGGGAAAAAAAGAGUUACAUAAAGGCAUGGUGGAGCUACCAAUCCUUGGACAAACACAAAAAAUUAUACUUUUCGAGGUUCAUUAAUGUAGCCUAAAUAGAAAGCUUGUCAGUUAAAUACUCUUAAAAGUGCAGUAGUCCAUAAAAAUAGUCCCUACUUACACUGACUACAGCCAUUUAUUAUUCACACGCAAUUACUUCCUCCUUUCAUCAAUAUAAGUCCAUCCAUGUUUGUCCCAAGUUAAGCUAUUUUUUUUAACUUUGACUAACCGUAUACAUAAAAAAAUCUAUUAUCUUAAAUGAGAAGUGUUAUAUAUUAUGAAACUAUUUCUAAAAAAGUGAAUCUAAUAACAUCAAUCUCCUAUUGUCAAUGUACAUCUUUUUUUAUUGAUGGUCAAAGCUGACAAAAUUUAACUUACGACAAACCUAAAUGGACCUAUAUUUACGGCCAGAUGAGGUUGAUAUAAUCACAAAGCAUAGUGUAGCUCUUGUUACUUGUUAGUAGACCUUUACAUUAGGAUAAUAUUUGAAUGAUAAUAAUUGACUUCCUCUUCCUCUUUCCUAUAAUGAAAACCACAAUUGAACAAAUAAGACAGCGCAGCCAGAGUUUUCUUAGAAGAGCCUCCUUAUUGCUAUUGCUUCAGAAAGAAUUUUCCUUAUUAUCCCAGUCACGGUGUGGCCGUUACGCCACCACCAGCAUCAAUCAAAUUGGUAACUCCCAAAGACCCAACAAUUGUAGCUUUCUUUCCCGAAAUCGAUAGCGUAUUCACAGCAGAAACAAAAGCAAAUGUUUCCUGUCACUCAUAUGCAUGCCUCCUUUACUAAAAGAAGAUGCAGCACCGUACUGCAUCAUAAAAGAAGCAUCUUCUUCCCAACAUGGUAUUAGUUUGCACCUUCCAAAUUCACAACUAUGCUUUUUUCCCUCUGUUCAACGGAACAUUAUUUGAAUAUACAUAAACAGCAAACGAAGCUGGCAAGAGACAACAAAAGAACCAAUUACUACUGUUAUCAAAUGAGCCAGCAAAGCAUAAACUUGAUAUGCUGCCCCUAGACCCCUAGUGGACGCUCUCAAACCAGCGCCGGCCUCAAACUCAUCAAUUGCUUGCAAUUCCAGCCUUAAUUAUACUAAUAAUAAUUAAACUCGAGCGAAGCCAAGAUAUAGCAAUAAAAAGUUGACCAAAGAGCCUCAAAUCAAUUGCUUGCAACUCCAGCCUUAAUCACACUAAUCAUAAUUACACUCGAGCGAAGCCAAGAUAGCAAUAACAAGGUGAGCAAAGAGUGCACAUGCUUUGCUUAAUUGCUCUCGUGUGCGGUGCACGCUCACGACGUGCACCCGACGCUAAAGCGGCGAGAAAAGAAGGGCUUUUUUUUUCUUUUCACACAAGCACGCAGGCGACGGGACACUGGUGAAUUACCAGCCAACCGAACCGACCCAGUGUACCCGACCCGACAGAGGAGGAGGGAGAUCCGAACCAGAUCUACGCGGAAUUCACCAGAUCUAUCUAUCUAUCGAGAGAAGAAGCAAGGAGACGGGGGAAGCCAGUACCUUUCCGCCGGUCGAUGAGCUGAUACGUAGCGCGCUCAGGCGACCGGCCCAUGGGGCGGCUGGCCCUCCGGCGGGGCAAACUAAAAGGAGCCCUCCCGCCCCGCCGCGGUUCGGGCUCUCCCUCCCUCCUGAACAAGGUCGAGUCGGCUCCGGUCAGUCGGAGGCGGACGGGUGCGCGCCCGUGUCAAGGACGGAGACCGGGGCGGGGACGGGGAAGUGGAGGUGAGCGGAGAGAGCGAAGAUGGGAGGGGCGUGGUCGCUGUGGAUGGAGGCGAGGCGGGUGGGUGGGUGGAUGGGUGAGGCCGUGAGCUGAGGCGAGGUGAGGGAGGGAGAGGGGGUGGUGGAGUUUGACCCGACGCGGCGGGCGUGGGGCCCGCGCGGGGCAAUGUAGGGCGCGCGGUGGCGUGGAGGGGAAGUGCGCGGCGCGGUGGGUGGCGGGCAGCCUCGGGAUCCGUGUCUGGCACGGGCGUCGGCCGAACGAAUAUGCGAUUGCCGGGUGGGGAAAUCUCUGGAGCUGGAACCUCUCUCGUUCCGGUGAGGUGGUGCCCUGCGCAGGGUUGCCCUCUCUGUGUUGGUCGCGUGAGUGCAUCUCCGUUGGAGAGCAUCUCCAACAAUUUGCUAAAAAACAUUUGCUAAAUUUUGUGUUUUGACAAGUUGCUAAAAGAUUUGACAAGUGAAAUAAUUUGUCAUCUCCAACAGUUUGUCAAUUGAACUUGCCAAAUUACAAAAAAAAAAACAGACCCACUACUAAACUACCAACUACCAGAUCAAUGGAUCCAUUGUACCUCCGCACACUUGAAGAAUAUAUUCAAAUGCAUCAGCAGAUCAGAAACAAAGAAACACAUAUACAGUUGAAGGAGGACCUGAUCGAACAUCUUUAGAAUCAUCUCCCAGAUUUGUAUUCAUACAAUAUCUGAAAAAUCCCGACUCAUCGAGUUUAUUUUAUUGUCAUUUGAUGUAAACAAAAAAUGACAUUUUAUUUGUAAUUGUACUCGUUACUGUUGUAUUUUUAUUUGGUUAAAUAUUAGUGUCAUCUAGUGUGAUCUCAUGUAAUCAUUUGUUGUCCCAUCUAGAUUUGAUCAAGUCGCUAUCAGUAGCAGCAGGUUCCGAGGCAACAGAAACUUUUCUAUCAAUUCCUGCCGGUGAUAAGACAGGGAGCAGCUCAGCAUAGGGCGCGAUGAAAAAAAAUAUAGCGCGUGGACGGCGGGAAUAUGGGCCAGAACUUUCACCUGGCGUGCGGGAAGAGAAGCGAAGACGAGGAAUCGCGCGAUGGCAAGCGCAUCCGCGCGGCGGAUACCUACACGCGCGGAUGAGAAAUUUGGCAAGCGAAACAAUUUGACAAGUGGGAAUACCAAACUGUUGGAGCAAGUUUUUUGGCUCUUUUACCAAUUUUUUAAGGAUAGCAAGUGUUUUAACAAUCUGUUGGAGAUGCUCUCCGUUUACACUAGAAACAGGGUCACGGCUUUGCCGUGCCUCGGUUGUGACUGGGCCAGUGACAAUAGGGAGUGAAAAUAAAAAUAAAAAACAAUUCAAGCAGCUUUAUGGCUUUCAUAUAUCCCGCUUUGGGUCUUGUUUAGUUCCUCAAGGAAAAAAAUUCACGGCACUGUAGCAUUUUCGUUUGUUUGUAGUAAUUAUUGUCUAACUAUAGACUAACUAAGUUCAAAAGAUUCGUCUCGUCAAUUUCGACAAAACUAUGCUGUUAGUUUUUAUUUUCGUCUAUAUUUAAUACUCCAUGCAUGCGUCUAAAGAUUCGAUGUGACUUGAAAAAUUUUGGAUUUUUGGGUGGAAGUAAACAAGGCCUUGAUAGAAGCGAUUUUUUUUCUUUAGUGAAGUAAAUGUAAAUUGUUGAGGAUCUCUAUGAUUUAAGUUUUUGAUUGAGCUCCUAAUCAAUCUACUUGAUGUUGAUAUAGCAUGGAGUAUUUGUUAGCUAUACUAUACAUAUGUUAAGUAAGAUCCUGUUUGGUUUGGGCUGUUUUUUUAACACUUAUUCCAUUAUUAAAAUACAACUAGAGAAUAAUUUGUGAGACAAUUUUUUAGUCCAAAUAAUUUAUAAUUGGAUAAUAAUUGUUAUAGUUACAUCUGCGACUUUCGAUUACAGUGCGAAUGUAUGAGGCAGCAUAUUAUCGUGAACAUAAGAGAGAUGCAUUGAGCCCGCUUGCUGGUUGCCCGAGCAGGUAGAGGCGGGCAAUGAGGCAGCGCCACAGAGCAAUGAGGCUGGUGGGAAACUUGGGCCUUGUUUAGUUCUAAUUUUUUUUUAAAAUAAACAUUGUAGUUGUUUCGUUUGAAUUUGAUAAAUAUUAUUUAAUUAUAGACUAACUAGGUUUAAAAGAUUCGUCUCGUAAAUUACAGGUGAACUGUGUAAUUAUAUUUUAUUUUCGUUUAUAUUUAAUACUCUAUGCAUAUAUCUAAAAAUUCCAUGUGAUGAAAAAUCUGAAAAAAAAAUUGCAAAUUUUUUUGGCAACUAAACAAACGCCUUGGAAGGUAGCGUGAAGAUGGGGACCCCGGACCCAGCAUUUUAUGGAGCUAGAGACGAAGGCUCUGGAAAGCAUUAGUCGUACGUGUGUUUCGACGUCCGAUUUAGAUCCAACGGUGGAGAAGAUACUGGAGAUUUCUUGCUUACACGUGGCCAAAUGAGCUGCUAGAUCCUAUGGUACAGGAUUCGUCAAGUAGAUGAAAAUUUUUUGAGUGUCACAUCGAAUAUAUCGAAUGGAUGUUGGAAGUAGUUUUUAGAAACUAAUAAAAAAACAAAUUACAUAACUUGUCUAAAAACUGCAAGACAAACCUAUUAAGCAUAAUUAAUCUAUCAUUAACACAUGUGGGUUACUAUAGCACUUAAGGCUAAUUAUAGACUAACUACGUUUAAAAGAUUCGUCUUGCGGUUUUCAACCAAACUGUGUAAUUAGUUUAUUUUUUUUAUCUACAUUUAAUGUUCCAUGCAUAUGUCCAAAGAUUCGAUGGGAUGGAUGCAAAUUUUUUCGGUAGGAAACUAAACACGGCAUAAGCCUGGGCAAGGGCAACUAAGGCCUUGUUUAGUUCAAGCAUGUUUAGAUUGAAGAUAAAAAAUUUUGAGUAUCAUAUCGGAUGUGUCAAAAGAAUGUUGGGAAGGUUUUUAUAAACUAAUAAAAAAAACAAAUUACAUAGCUCGUUUGAAAACUGCGAGACAAAUCUAUUAAGCAUAAUUGAUCUGUCAUUAGCACAUACGGGUUACUGUAGCACUUAAGGUUAAUCAUGGACUAACUAGGUUUAAAAAAUUUAUCUCGUGAUUUUCAACCAAACUGUGUAAUUAGUUUAUUUUUUAUCUACAUUUAAUGUUCCAUGCAUGUGUCCGAAGGUUCGAUGGGAUGGAUAAAAAUUUUUUGGGUGGGGAACUAAAUAGGGCCUCACUCCAAAACCAAAAAUUUUUCAAGAUUCCCCGGCACAUCGAAUCUUGUGGCACAUGCAUUAAGCAUUAAACAUAGUCAAAAAACAAAAACUAAUUACACAGUUUGCCUGUAAAUCAUGAGAUAAAUCUUUUGAACCUAGUUAAUCCAUAAUUGGACAAUAUUUGUCACAAACAAACGAAAAGUGCUACAGUGGCCUGAACCAAAAAUGGUACGACCCUAAACCCUAAACCCUAAAUCCCUACAGACACAUGUGUACACUCUGUUCGCUUGGCUGAUAGACUAUGGCUGAAAGUAUUGUUCGCUGAUUUGUUGUGAGCUCAGUAGAAGUGCUAAAUAGCAUUAUGUCUAUUUAUAUAUAUAUGAGUUGUCUAUGCAACAAUCGAGUGAUUUAGUACUUAAUUCUUUUUUUCUCUACUGUUCAUCUUCUUCCUCUCCUUCGCUGACGUCCACCGCCCUACCGGCAUGAUAGGACCUGGCUAGAGUCAGCGCUGGCCCUAGAAUUUUGAGGGCCUUUUGGCGAUCUCAUCGUGACGGCCUCUCUAGUCUAUAAUAGGAAAAAGUCUAUAUUAUUUCCUCCAAGUUCGGCCUAUGUGCAAAUAACCCCUAAACUAACAUUUGCUUUAAUUUACUUCCUCCAACUAUUUAAGUUGGUCCAACUAAUACCUUAAAAGAUUUUUAUUUUUUGUUUCUCUAUGCACAAAUUAUAUUUUAGUUUCAAAUUUUGUGAGGUGAUAGACAACUUUGUAUUUUGUGUUAGAAAAAUGCAAUAUAUUUUUUUCAUCAUUAUGUUUAUAUGAUAUUGUAUCUCUAGUGUUAAUUUAUUUUUAAAUUUUCUAAGCUAUCAAAAUUUUGAUAAAAAGUUAAGAUAUAUUUUUUCUAACAUAACAUAUGAAACUUGAUAUUAAAACGUAACUAAUACGUGGAAAAACAUAAAUAACUAAUCAUGUUAAGGGGUAAACUAGACAAUUGAAAUGGUUGGAGGGAGUAAAUUGAAUCAAAUGUAAGUUUAAGGGGUAAUCUGAACAUAUGACAAGUUUGAGGGGAGUAAUUUAGAAUUUUUUUUCUCUAUACUAUAUAGGCUAAUUUUACUUGUAAAGGAAAAUCAAAUGCAAUAAUAUUUUUAAAAUUAAACAUUUCUGAUAAUUAUCAAGAUAGAGAAAGAGUGUAGAUUAAAAAACAAUAUAUUUGUACUGCUAGAACUAAUAUGAUUACCUUAAAAAAGAACAGAGCUCCAUCAUACUCAUUGCUUCUUAUACAAAUAUACUUCUUCAGACAUUUCUUGAUGUUCAUCAAAGAUGGUAUUGAGAUUAAUAGUGUCCAAGAUAUUCUCUAAAUGGUGCACAUCUAGGGCCUACAUAAUUUGGCAUGAUCAUAUAAAUAGAAAGUACGAAACUGAAUCAAUUAAUCAAAUUAACAAGAAUCUAAUUGGUGAUUGCAAGUGGCACGACAGACGUUGGCGUGUGUUGGCGGCGACCGCUCGGCUGAUCAGCUCCUUCGGCCUCGUCCUAUGCUAUCUCAUGGAACAAAAGCCAAUGCCUUAGCCCUUAGCCUAUACGUAUACUAGUACUAGUAUAUAAGUUAGGCCCCAAGUCGCAAGGGCCCAUGGCCCACGCACCUGCUGCCCCACCCAUAGGGCCGGCGCUGCUAGAGUUCUGUGGCUGUGUCCUAGACCUAGCCCAACCACCUCCACCAUCAUCAGGGCCCCUAAAUCACUCGGCCACCAUCUCCCCCUCCCUCCCUAGGCAGCCUGCCUCCCCUAGGUCGGCCUCUUUUAUACCCACUGAGGUUGGAGAAGAAAGAGGAGGAGAGGCUCGUCAUGGCCCAAGCCACUCCUGUCAUCAUCUUUGUCUUCGGUAGAGGAGGAGGAGACCGCCUACCUUGUUGGUCCGGCGCUGGUGGAGUUGAGGAAGAAGAAGAGGAAGAAGAAAGAGGUGGGGAAGAGGCGUCGUGCAAGCGCAAAAAACACAUGUGGGCGAGGGCUAAAACAACCAAGUGUUAUUUAGCAUUCCUUAUUUUAAUUGAUGAGAGCUACAACUACAGCGGACACAGAGAUGAAUGAGAAACCAAUGUUAAAAUGGACUAACUUCCAUCGACACCACCCAUAUUUUGGACAGCGACACCAGUAAAUAGAUAGGCAAGAAUCUAAAAAUGAAGAAGCGACAGGAGCACAUCAAUGGCAGAUCCAAAGAAAAGCAUUCAAAUGGUCAAGAUCAAGACACUCAUUAUAAUUGUACGUACAUAACAGAUGUAUAUGUAGCGUUUAUACAGCUGCAUAAGAAUACUUACCGAUAAUUACUAACUCAAUAGACUCGUAAUCACUAUCAUUACUGGGCCGGGAGGAAGCUUCCUCUUGUCACUACAAGCUUUCCACCAACUCUCAAUAUUCUACUCAUCAUCAUAGGUAAAGACAAUAGAGAUGCAUAAAAGAGUACAUCCACUGAAUAGACUCAUCAUCACUAUUGAUAGAGCUGGUAGGAAUUUAUCACCGUGACAAUUAACAACCUCCUUUCCUCACAUUCUCAUCACAAUACACACUAAAACACUGGUUAAAAAAAAUUGGUACAACAUUUCUAACAUCAAGAUGCACACUGCAGAUAAAACAAAUUCCUAAGCUCUUAAUUAAGAGGUCAAACAUCAGCUAGAUGGGCGGUUAUUACUGACAGGAACCACAAGUGAACUGCUUGCAUCAUGUGGUUGCGUCUUCCAUGCAAGCCUCACAGAAGUAUAGAUCUGCGAGGUUUCAGCCAUUGCACCAUUCCCGUGAUCGCCGCAAGCCAAUCUUUUGGUAACUGGGGGAUCAAGAUUAUGCCCAGUUGGUUGAUCGUCUGAAGAUGAUGCUCUCUAAAUGGGUUGUUCCACAUUAAUGUGUUCAUAGCUGGGGCAACAAAGAGCGGUUUGUUGUAGUCCCACGCUCUCACAAUGCAUGUUAAGAGGUUGUCACAUAACCCACCGGCGAUCUGAACAGAAUAAUCUAGCAUCAGUUUUGUUUUUGUAUAAAGUGAAACUAUUUCACCAUUCAUAAAGAGAAAAAGGUACCAUAGCCAGGGUAUUUGCUGAUAAUUGAGCAAUGACCAUAAUAUCUGCCCAUUUACACAGCUCAAUGUGUAAAACUUCAUCUCCUAUCUUCUUCCAGGUAGACCACUCAUCGUCAUCCGUGUAAAGAACAAUGUCACUUGGUAGAGACAAUUUAUCAAUAAAGUGCAAAGAUGAUGCGGUGGCCACGGCAUGAACAUCCGCCCACUCAGAGAAACAACGACAAAGGUUCUCAAAUUUUAUAGUGGCUACACUUCCCGAAGCAGCAAGGAGUACCCGAGGCUUACUAGGUUGUGAGUAGUCCAUCGCCAAAUUCUCUUGUACCGGCUCUGAUGUAGCCAUCAGCUCCGCUUGAAAUGCUCAGCUACAUAUAAUUAGAGCAAGUGAGAGGAUUUGUACAAGUAUAGAAAAACAUGAUUAACAAUGAAAGAUCUAGAGAGAAAUAAAAGAAAAUAGAGAAUAAAUCAUUUCCAAUAAGAAAAAGUUACUUUUCCAUCACUCCAUGUGGCCAUGAGUUUAUUUUUGUAAGGCCGAGGAAUGAUAUGUUUCCAGAUUAUUGACUCUUCUAGUGCUAUGGAAAAUCAGCAUUCCAAGUUUCAAUGAUAAGCGCUUUUCUUUAUCCUCUGCUUAUUUUCAGUUCGAGAAAGGUAGACAAUGUGAUUCCUGUGCAGAACAGUUCAGUGAAACAUACAAAUCUGAACUCUCCUGCAAAUUAGGAAUACAUGCACAUAUUGUCUCGUGUCUCCUCUUAUAUCUAACGACCAUAGGCUAUACAUAAAUAAAGAUAAGGGUUCUAGCACCACUACUGUAUUAUUUCCACGAGCCUAUGCUAUGACUACUGCUAGACAGAAUGCAUCGAAUACUUCAUAUACUGAGGAUUUUGAACACAGGCUAUGCCUAUAGAAUUGUAGAGUUACAGAACAGUACUGCACAUAUCGGUUGAAAGUAAACCAGCAAAGUGAAAUCCAGUUUGUUUUUCGGUCCCUCAACACCAAACCUGCCCAAUUGGCCCAAUUGGUAGAGGCGUGAGCGUGAGGAUACCGGGAUAUGAUCCCGACAGAUUAAUUCUGUAGUUCCCUAAACUCCCUACAGACCAUGGAGGCAAUGAACUAUGAAAUGACCUCCUACUGUAAUUUUGUUCAAAAGGAAUAAAUUAGGCGUAUGGGUAAUAUGAGGGCUGGACACAAUUGGUUUGCAUGAGAGUUCAAUUCUUGGAAAAAUAAAACGCAUUCACUCGCAUUACAUGCUUACAGCGUCCGCCUUACACCCGAGGCGUCCAAUAAACGUUGCUUUGGCGUCUGAAUCACGCCAGAUCGCUUGUGGCGGGCGCCAUACGGACCGACAGUAGGAGAAAGUUGGAGAUCUAUUGGGGAUCGGCAGGAGUGAGAGAGAUGAUUGGGAGGUUUCUCUCACCACCAAGCGGGAGAGGAAGGCAGAAGCAGCAGGACCUCGAUGUCGCCGCGUUGUCCUUGCUGCCGCACCGCCCGUCGAGUAGUAGCUGUCGCCAAGUCACGCCUGAUCUGACGGGGCAAGAGUGGUUUGGGGAGGGAGGGGAAGCAGUAGAGAGAGAAGCACAAAGGAGAGGGGCGGCGGGAAGGAGGAGAUCGGCGGCGCUGGAGACGAGACAGGAGAGCGGCGGCAAGAGCUAGGGGCGGUGACGGCUGAGGAGAUUGGGCUGCGUGGUCUGUUUGUCGCCUGGGCUAGCCCACUUCCUCUGCACAUCCUAUACAGUCCAUAGUUCUGCUCUGCUCACCUCGCCAAACCCCACAGGCCCGCACGCGUUAGUAGCUUCGUAGCAUCUCCAGGAGUCUACUAUCUAAAACACACUACCUAUUUACACAUUACCUAUUUCUCUAUUUAGAUAGCCACUUAUUGUUAUAAACUACCUCUACCUAUAUUUUAUUCUAAACUCUAGUAGUUUUAUCUAAAACAACCUACCAAAACAAGUCCAUGUAAUGUCAUUCUCUUCAAUGUUCUUCUCGCCGGAGGAGAGUUCAUCGAGAAAUGGCCUGUCGCGUACCGGGAAACAUCGGAGCAGAGCGCAACCACCAACCACACCAGGAAGCCCGCGCUGCCUCCCGCGAGGCUCGCCACAGAGCCGCCGCCGUUGAUGAGGGCAUUGUCGGAGGAGAUCUGAGGCCGUGCAGGAUAGAGGCAGCUCGUCACGCUUGGAGCAAGCUCACUGGGGAUGAGAAGAGCCAAGUUCACGCCUGUGCCAGCGAAGAGGAGCGCCGUGCAGGCUCACCAAGGAGAGGUGGGGAGCAAGAUGCAUCUCGUCAUGUUGUGCAGGCUCGCCGAAGCAGUGGCGGAUCUAGAAUUUUGCUAUAGGUUAUGCCACAUCAAAACUUUCAUAUCUUGGUUGGAUGUGUGAUGAAGUAAAUUUUUUUACAGUAAUAAUGGAGUUAAAGUAUCCUUUCAAGAUAUGUGUGAUGAAGUAUAUAGGAAAACAUAUUGUAAAAAAAUAUAUAUAUAGUAAAACAAAAAUAUGUGUGCGGUAAUAGUGCAUCAAAAUUCUCAUCCUGUGGCGAACCUCUUUUUUUUUUAACCUGGCUAUGGCGAACUUUCCAUACCACAAAACCAAGUUGACUUAGUAUAUAGAAAAACAAAUGGAAAUAAUGCAGCCAAAGUAUCUCUUCAAGAAAUGAUGAAAUGUAACAUCGGUUAAUGAUAAUUUUUUGAAGAGCGGUUAAUGAUAAUUGAUAGUACGCAAUAAGACUCUAUUAUAUUUUUUCAUCUAUCGAGCAAAAUUGCAAAUGUUGUCGGUAACAGAAAAAAACAUCAGCAAAUCCGCAUGCAUGUCGCUGAAGAGACUCAUCCUCACUAUCGAUACUGAGCUGGCAGUAAUUUAUCACCGUGACAACUGACAACCUCCUUUCCCCACAUUCUCAUCACAAUACACACUAAAACACUGGUUAAAAAAAAUUGGUACAACAUUUCUAACAUCAAGAUGCACACUGCAGAUAAAACAAAUUCCUAAGCUCUUAAUUAAGAGGUCAAACAUCAGCUAGAUGGGCGGUUAUUACUGACAGGAACCACAAGUGAACUGCUUGCAUCAUGUGGUUGCGUCUUCCAUGCAAGCCUCACAGAAGUAUAGAUCUGCGAGGUUUCAGCCAUUGCACCAUUCCCGUGAUCGCCACAAGCCAACCUUUUGGUAACUGGGGGGAUCAAGAUUAUGCCCAGUUGGUUGAUCGUUUGAAGAUGACGCUCUGUGAAUGGGUUGUUCCACAUUAAUGUGUUCAUAGCUGGGGCAACAAAGAGCGGUUUGCUGUAGUCCCACGCUCUCACGAUGCAUGUUAAGAGGUUGUCACAUAACCCACCGGCGAUCUGAACAGAAUAAUCUAGCAUCAGUUUGUUUUUGUAUAAAGUGAAACUAUUUCACUAUUCACAAAGAGAAAAAGGUACCUUAGCCAGGGUAUUUGCUGAUAACGGAGCAAUCACCAUAAUAUCUGCCCAUUUACGCAGCUCAAUGUGUAAAACUUCAUCUCCUAUCUUCUUCCAGGUAGACCACUCAUCAUCAUCAGUGUAAAGAACAAUGUCACUUGGAAGAGAUGAUCUAUCAAUAAAGUGCAAAGAUGAUGCGGUGGCCACGGCUCGGACAUCCGCCCACUCAGAGAAACUACGACAAAGGUUCUCAAAUUUUAUAGCGGCUACACUUCCUGAAGCAGCAAGGAGUACCCGAGGCUUACUAGGUUGUGAGUAGUCCAUCGCCAAAUUCUCUUGUACUGGCUCUGAUGUAGCCAUCAGCUCCGCUAACGCUCAGCUACAUAUAAUUAGAGCAAGUCAGAGGAUUUGUACAGGUAUAGAAAAACAUGAUUAACAAUGAAAGAUCUGGAGAAAAAUGAAAGAAAAACAGGGAAUAAAUCAUUUCCAAUAAGAAAAAGUUACUUUUCCAUCAAUCUACUAUUGUCAAUGUACAUCUUUUUUUAUUGAUGGUCAAAGCUGACAAAAUUUAACUUACAACAAACCUAAAUGGACCUACAUUUACGGCCAGAUGAGGUUGAUAUAAUCACAAAGCAUAGUGUAGCUCUUGUUAGUAGACCUUUACAUUAGGAUAAUAUUUGAAUGAUAAUAAUCGACUUCCUCUUUCCUAUAAUGAAAACCACAAUUAAAUAAAAAAGACAGCGCAGCCAGAGUUUUCUUAGAAGAGCCUCCUUAUUGCUAUUGCUUCAGAAAGAAUUUUCCUUAUUAUCCCAGUCACAGUGUGGCCGUUACACCACCACCAGCAUCAAUCAAAUUGGUAACUCCCAAAGACCCAAGAAACCGAUAGUGUAUUCACAGCAGAAACAAAAGCAAAUGUUUCCUGUCACUCAUAUGCAUGCCUCCUUUACUAAAAGAAGAUGGAGCACGGUACUGCAUCAUAAAAGAAGCAUCUUCUUCCCAACAUGGUAUUAGUUUGCACCUUCCGAAUUCACAACCAUGCUUUUUUCCGUCUGUUCAACGAAACAUUAUUUGAAUAUACAUAAACAGCAAACGAAGCUGGCAAGAGACAACAAAAGAACCAAUUACUACUGUUAUCAAAUGAGCCAGCAAAGCAUAAACUUGAUAUGCUGCCCUAGACCCCUAGUGGACGCUCUCAAAUCAGCGCCGGCCUCAAACUCAUGAAUUGCUUGCAAUUCCAGCCUUAAUUAUACUAAUAAUAAUUAAACUCGAGCGAAGCCAAGAUAUAGAGCCUCAAACCCAUCAAUUGCUUGCAACGCCACACUAAUCAUAAUCACACUCGAGCGAAGCCAAGAUAGCAAUAACAAGGUGAGCAAAGAGUACACAUGCUUUGCUUAAUUGCUCUCGUGCGGUGCACGCUCACGACGUGCACCCGACGCUAAAGCGGCGAGAAAAGAAGGGCUUUUUUUUCACAUCACGCACGCGACGGGACACUGGUGAAUUACCAGCCAACCGAACCGACCCAGUGUACCCGACAGAGGAGGAGGGAGAUCCGGACCAGAUCUACGCGGAAUUCACCAGAUCUAUCUAUCUAUCGAGAGAAGAAGCAAAGCCAGUACCUUUCCGCCGGUCGAUGAGCUGAUACGUAGCGCGCUCAGGCGACCGGCCCAUGGGGCGGCUGGCCCUCCGGCGGGGCAAACGAAAAGGAGCCCUCCCGCCCCGCCGCGGUUCGGGCUCUCCCUCCCUCCUGAACAAGGUCGAGUCGGCUCCGGGUCAGUCGGAGGCGGACGGGUGCGCGCCCGUGUCAAGGACGGAGACCGGGGCGGGGGCGGGGAAGUGGAGGUGAGCGGAGAGAGCGAAGAUGGGAGGGGCGUGGUCGCUGUGGAUGGAGGCAAGGCGGGUCCGCGGGUGGGUGGGUGGAUGGGAGCCGGAUUCAGGCCUUGUUUAUUUCGUCCAAAAAAAUUAAUUUUUUUUUUCAAAAUUUCCAUCGUAUCGAAUCUUACCACAUAGAUUAUUAAAUAUAGAUAAAAAUUUAAAACUAGUUGCACAGUUUGUCUAUAAAUUACGAGACAAAUUUUUUUAAGCCUAGUUACUUUAUAAUUGGACAAUAUUUGUCAAAUAAAAACGAAAAUACUAAAAUAUCAAAAUCUAAAAACUUUUUGGAUCUAAAGCCUGAGUAACUUUACAUCAAUCUCCACCCUCCAACUGACAUCUAACGACUGCACGGAGUUUCAGUUUCAUCGACCAAGCAUCAUAAAACAAGAGACAAAGCAUUUUUAAAUUAUAAGUUAUUUCAAAAAUUUCCGAGAGUCAAAGUAUUUUUAAGUUUAACUAAAAUUAUAGAGAGAAUACUAAGAUUUGUAACAUAAAACGAGUAUACUAUAAAAAUAUAUUUAAGAAAGAAUCUAAUGAUAUUUAUUUGAUAUCAUAAUAAUUGUAUUAUAUAAAUUUAGUCAAAUUUAGAAUAGUUUAACUCUCUAAGAUUUUUAGAAAGUCUUAUAGUUUGGGAUGGAGGGAGUGUCGAAAUAACUUUAUUCAUUUUAGCGGACGAAAAAAAGGAAGACAAAAAAAAUAACCAAAACAAAACGAAAAAACAAAUAAAAAACUAAAAAACUAUCAAGAUCUAGAAACUCCUCUUAGUUUAUAAAUUUAUUAAUAUUCACUACUCCCUCAGUCCUCAAAAGAAUAUAUAUUUUAUUUUCCAAGAAGUCAAACAAUAUCAAGUUUGACCAAAUAUAUAAACAAUUAUGUUAAUAUUUAUGAUGUGCAAUAAGAAAUCUAUAAAUAAAUUAAAAAAUAAAAAUAGGACCCGCAAGCAGCAAAUAGCACCACCACUCACCACUACACCGGUUUGCCACGCCAAUGUUAUCAUGCCAUCCUAGAGGCAGCUAAGAAACUCUUCAUGUUUGAAUAGGCGGUUAAUUAGAAAUUGAAGCAUAACUAUUAUAAACCUGGCGUUACUAGAAAUUAUCUUUUCCUAUUUAGAUAAGAGGGACUGCCCAUUAAAGAGCCAAAACGGAGACCAAGAAAACUAACCAAAGCGACUCUGCUAACAACAUGAAAAAGAAAAAUGAAGAAACAAAUAAAAAACACUGACAACGUAAGAAUAUCAAAAAACUCCUAUUCAGAUUAGAAAAAUAAUAAUAAUUCUUCAAUAUUAGAUAUAGGUAUAAACGUGAACUAAAAGUAUAUAUAUAAUUAUUUGUGUUGGCUGCCGGUUUAUUCUUGAGAGUGACCUACUGCUUAAUCAUUAUUUAUUCAACCUGUAAACUAUCAGAAACUUUUCCUUGAAAUCGCUUGUGCUGGCCUGCUAUGCUUGUGCGUGGUCCUGUUGGGUGGCAUGAUGAACCUAAAAGUCUAUGCAACCGUUAGAUUCUAGUUGUAAGGUGGAGAUUGAAGCAAAGUUAUGUUGUGACUUUACUCUAUAAAGUCACUGAAUCCGGCUCCGAAGGGGAAGUGCACGACGCGGUGGGUGGGGAUUCGGGUCUCGCACGGGCACACUGCACCUGGCAAUCGGACGGGCGUCUGCCGAUAUACGAAUGAAUAUGCGAUUGUCGGGGGGGGGACCUCUAGAACUGGAACCUCUCUUGUUCCGGUGGGGUGGUGUCAUGUGCAGGGUUGCCUCUCUGGUGCUGGUCGCAUGCGUGCGUCUGCGUUGACCGAGCCUAGGCGAGGGUGACUGAAAAUAGUAGGAGUAUGCUGUUGCAAUGCAUGGGUGUCGCAUACAGUUUGGUUGGUUUCCCUUCCCUCUCUUCUUGCAGCUAAGUUGCAACUUGCACGUUGCUGUUUCAAGGACUGCUGCCUAGGUCAAGUGUGUUUUCAGCCCAUGGAAAGGCGGUUAAGAGUUUGUCCAGAUUCGUAAAGCUAAAGUAGUUUUCGUUUCAAUAGUGUGUUGUUCCGUUACAGACACAUAGAUUCUAUUCAGUUAUAAUUAUGUAUUUUUCAAUUGGAUUUGGUUUAGUAGAAGUGCUAAGUAGCAUUAUGUCUAUUUAUAUAUAUAUGAGUUGUCUAUGCAACAACCGAGUGAUUUAGUACUCAUAUUCUUUUUUUCCUCUCCUAUUCAUCUUCUUCCUCUCCCCCGCCGACGCCCACCACACUGCCGCGGUGCGAUAAGACAUGGCUAGAGCUCUGUGGCCAUGUCCUAGACCUAGCCCAACCGGCUCCCCGUCGCUAAAGCCCCUAAACCGCCCAGCCACCAUCUCCCCCUCCCCGCCUGAGCAGGCUGCCUCCCCUUGUCGGCAUCUUUUAUACUCGUUGAAGUUGGAGAAGAAAGAGGAGAGGCUCGUCAUGACCCAAGCCACUCCCGCCGUCAUCUUCGUCUUCGAUAAAGGAGGAGGAGGCGCCUACCGCGUUGGUGCCAACGCCGGCGGAGUUGAGGAAGAAUGAGAAGGAGGUGGGGGAGAGGUGUUAGCGCAACUGAAAAAACACAUGUGGGUGGGGCUAAAACAACCAAAUGUUGUUUAGCAUUCCUCAUUUAAAUCGAUGAGAGCUACAACAUACUAUGGCGGGCUCAGAGAUGAAUUAGAAUCUAAUAUUGUAAUGGACUUAUUUCCUUCGUCUUUCACCUCUAGCGUUUUUAUUGAAGCUUCCUUAGCUAUAACAUUUUUGUGAGGUAGUCUUAUAAAGAUGUAGUGGUUUUGAGUGAAGGGUUCUUGCGGCCUCUCUAAUAGAGAGCGAUAUGUUUUUUUUCCUUGGCGAUGUUAUGUGGUGUCAUAUUUCUCAAUAAUCAUGAGAAACCUUGUGAAAAAUCCAACUUUCAUCUACAGGCAAAUGAUAACAGUGUCGUGUUCUCUUGGAGGCAUUGUCUUGUACUAGUUUCUAUCUCGUUUUGAAGAACAAUUAGGUGGCGAUGAUGUGGCCUAACUUAGGUGGGUAGUUUGUCAUCUGUUCUCAUGUUUUUAGAACUGAGCUUGCAAUGUUUAGUCUCAUUUCUUUUUUCUUAAUUAUAAAUAAAGGUCAUUGGUCUAUGUUACGCUACAACUUAUCUAACGUAAAAUUCAGGUGGUCAUGUUUCUACGAGUGGAGCUAUAGACCGUUUUGCUUUGGCAUGUGAGUGGCUAGGCUGAGGAUUUAGAGGAAUUUCAGAGAACUUAAUAAUAGGAUUUCACUUGAGCCAAACGGAACUUGUGUAGUGGAAUCGGACAAACUUCCAUACGUGAAGCUUUGUACCAGCAGCAUUCAACAUCAUCAAAUUUUGAUGUAUAAUUCCCUCAAAAACAUGAUGUAUAAAAAGGCACUGUACGAAAUAUCCUAAACAGCAAUCAGCAAGUUACAGGAUAAUUUGCAUACAUGGAUACGAUUGUAUAGAAUGCUUAAAGAAGAUAGCACAGAAUUACUCCAGUACAAUGUUCUUACAACCUGAAUAUAACGGAACAGUCCUUGUCCUGAUGUACUCCAAUGAGUGAUUAUAUACUACUUAAUAACUUCAUGCUCGAUCACACGGAGCGUGAUUUGCUCCUCUCUCGAGCAAUCAUCAAUCGAUCACGGCACGAAUUAUUCUCCCGGACGGCGACCUACACAUGUACGUACUUCUCUACCACCACAUCACAUGCCACCGGAGGUUUAUUCUUGUACUACUAAUUCAAUAAUACAACCAACUAUACAACUAAUUAAUUAAUUAAUUAAUUAAUCCAUCACCAGCUCAAUCAACCAACCAGCUAGUGACCCCAAGCAUUGCCAGUUUGCCACCAGCACCAAGCAAGCAGGCUCGCUCGCUUCAUUCGUCGGCUCCAUCGUGGUACCCGGGCCCGGCGGCCACCUUCCGGCUCUGCGGUGGCGCAGCUGGAGACGCGGGCGGCGAGUCGACGAGGCAGCGGCGGAGCAGCCGCGCCACGGCCGCCACGAGGUCGUCCUCGGCGGCGGACGCCGUCCUGUACGACGGCGCGGCGCGCGCGAACGCGACGUGGCGGUCGAGCGCCUCGGCCGUGGUGAUGGCGCUGCCCUCGCGCCGGAUCUCGUCGCCCACCGCCUCGGCGCAGAGCCCGCAGACCCAGCGGCCCAGGUACUCGGCGCGCACCGCCGCGAUGUACGCCGGCGUGCACUCCUCCGUGAACCCGCAGCACUCGCACUUGGCCUUCUCAACCUCCAUGGCCCUGCCCUGCGUUUUCCUUCACUCUCCCUUGCGGCAGCAGGUUCCAGGCUUUCACUUUCAGUGCAGACGACGUAGAGCUCGAUCGACCUCUCAGUCUUACCGCUCCUUCUCCCAGACGGCGUAGGACGACGGGACGGACGGCGCCGCUGCCGCGGCGCGGUGGCUGCUCUGCUCGCUCGGGACGCUUGCAACGACGACGACGACGGUUUCGGCGGCGGAUGCUGCCGGUGACAUCGCAGGCAGGCGACGUCUCUCCCUCCCUCCUCCGGUCUCCGGGCCUCUGCAGCAGCUCGGCUCGCCCUGCCCUGCACCGCUCGCCGCGCUAGCUAGCUAGCUAGAGCGAGUUCUCUCCUUCCCCGCGCCGCGCCGCGCUAUCUCCUGCUCCAACACCAUGUGGUCUCCAGGUGUAUUUAUCCACAAACGUCGUGGCAGCCACGGGGCCCGCGGGGAAGGCAACGCCGCUAUCUACGAGGCCCCACCCAGCACCUCUGCGUCCUGACCCCACACGUCGGUCGGCGUGGGUCGGCUAGCCUCCCGUGUCUGCAGGAAGGCAGGGCCGCGAAAGGGCGGUCCACGUCAGGGCGCCGAGCUGAGCUGGAGGCGCGCCCACCCUUUCCAAAGUUUUCAUUGUGUGGACCGUGACAGCUGGCGACGGGUGGGGCCCGUGCCGGAAGCGAGCGAGUGGAGGGGAGCGGCGGCCGCAGCGCCAGCGCCACUCGUCGGCUCCGGUUGGGUGGGUGUGGAUUCGGUGCAGGUUCGGUUCAGCAUUCAGCUGGCCAGUCGCUGUCGUGAGGGCCCCGCGCGCCCAUUUUCCUUGCUGGUUCCGUGCUUUUUAAAUUUCUAUAAUUCUAAAAACAAGGAAAAGGAUUUUGGCGCCACUGAUGUUUUUGUCUGGGGUUGGUGCCUCCAAUCAUUCAUAGGGGUAGCUGAAUUACUCUUGGAGGAGGAGAAUUGGAAAGAAAGAGAUGGCGUCUCAGUUAAUCAGUUGAAGUGUUAGAGAGAACCAGUAACUUCUUGUAGGUCGUGCUAUUUUUCAUUAAAAAAAACAAAACAAAUUUGCAGCAUACUUUCUCCAUCUAAGGCCGGCUCUAUAAUUUUAAAGGUCUUUGGGCAAGUAAGAAGAUAAGGACCCGUUCAACUAACUUUUAAUAUCAAAAUUACUUUAUAUAGUACAGAUAAUAAAAAUUACUUUGCAAUAUAUGUGUAGUUCAUAAAACAUAACAAUAUUUUGUUCUUCUUAUUUUCUUUUCUUUUCUUUUUUUAGUACCCAACAAAUAUUUUUUAGGCAACAUCUAAUAUAUUUAGAUAAAUACAUUGAAUUAUAAAUUUAUAAUCCUAGGCCCUAGCACUAUACUAGCGUAGUCCAUACACAAAACAAAAAAGAUAAAAUGAAAAAUACUAAUCGAUCAUGGUUGUUGGUGUGUUGCUUACUAUGAUGGCGUGUGUGUUUGUUGUCCGCUGUCCCAAUUGUUAUGUAGAGUAGGACUAGAAGGAAGAGUUAUCUGGCUUUGGCUAGUUUGUCUUGGACCUCCAAAUGCUCAUUAUGCCAAAUAGAAUAUAUAUAUAUAUAUAUAUAUAUACACACACACACACACUCUUGGCUCUUGGGCCUCCAAGCUCCAUGGGCCUCCGGUGGUCGCGUGGGAGUGGCCAUAUAUAUGUGCGUACGGCCUUCGUGUACGAUGAUCGAUGAGCGUCCGACCAGGGCGCACACAAGUCCAGCCUUGGCUGUGCAAGCUAGCUAGCAAACGUGACGAAAGUCGAGCACAAUGGUUUUGGUGGAAAGAUGCACGCGACUGGUACAUAGCAGGUCGUAGUACUGCUUGCUCGUGCACAUGCCUGAGUUGUAUGGAAGCUAGGCGUCGCUAUCAUCCUGGCCGUCCGAUCGAGGUACGACUGUACCAGUGUACUGUUGAGGUGCCGUGCGCCACCGUGUACACUUUGGAAGCUAGUGCGUGCCGCAAGAGGACGAGCUAGGAAGGGACUCAUCACGUGUGGCUACGCUACGCCUAGUCUCCUACUACGUAUACGCGAGCUCAGCAUUCACCAUUCACCCGUAUAUAUCGUCUUCGUUCGAUGCCGCUACAUCCGUGUCAGGUGGCUAAAUAAGCGCAGUGGAUUUAGCUGCUGGUCAAAGUCCAGUUGCCCAGUUGGCCGGCCAGGAAACGCGUCGGCAACUUGGCAUCGCCGGCCACCGCGUCGCGUAGAGACGACGGCCGCGGGCGGGCGGGCGCCAAAGGCGAGCAGACGUGCGGCGUGCCUCCCGCUGGCGCGGCCUCGACCCGACCCGGACCCGAUGUCAGCUGUGGUUGCGGUUGCGGUUCGUCCUUUGAACGUGCCUACAACUAGAAGCCGGGCGACACGCCGCGGCGAAACCGGAGGACAGGUCGCGUCCGGCGUCCGUCGUCAGCCGUGCUCAGCGUCUGGUCCGAGUCCGAUCUGACCCUUCCUCCGCCCGCCUGCCGUGUUCUCUUCCGUGGAGACGCGACGACGCAGGCUGCCGCCGCCGCCGCCGCGCGCCAGGGCUCGUGUGCGUGUGCGUCUCGCUGCGCCCGACCCUCACCGGAUGCAGGCCGCGGUAGGACAUGAGCGCCCAACAGCCGGCAGGUGACGUGACGGUGAAACGUGAGCCGAAUACAGCGGCGGCGUUCAUGGGUAAGGCCUUGUUUAGUUCCGAAAACUGAAAAGUUUUCGGAACUGUAGCACUUUCGUUUGUUUGUGGUAAAUAUUGUCCAAUCAUAGAUUAACUAGAGUCAAAAGAUUCGUCUCGUGAUUUACAGUCAAACUGUGUGAUUGGUUUUUGUUUUCGUCUAUAUUUAAUGCUUCAUGCAUGUGCCGCAAGAUUUGAUGUGACAGGAAAUCUUGAAAAUUUUUUGAAUUUCGGGAUGAACUAAACAAGGCCUAAGGGUAAUCUCCCGGCGGGACCACGCCGGAUACAGUGAUUAAUAACGUGACCCGUCGUGACAGCGCCUGCAACGAUCCGGCGCAUGAUGAGCGGCUCGUACGACGGUACACUAGUACACUGACGGCACCGUACCUGUUCCUGUCGACAUCAGAUGGCCUUGUUUAGUUCCAAAAAAUUUUACAAAAUUUUUCAGAUUUCUCGUCACAUCGAAUCUUUAAACGCAUACAUAAAGUAUUAAAUAUAGAUGAAAAUAAAAACUAAUUGCACAGUUUAGUCGGAAUUGACGAGACGAAUCUUUUGAGCCUAGUUAAUCCAUGAUUGGAUAAUAUUUGUCAAAUACAAACGAAAGUGCUAGAGUAUCGAUUUCCCAAAAUUUUUGGGAACUAAACAAGGCCAGGCUUUGUUUACUUCGAAAAGUGAAAAAUUUUUGGUACUGUACCACUUUCGUUUGUUUGUGACAAAUAUUAUCCAAUCAUAGAUUAACUAGGAUCAAAAGAUUCGUCUCGUGAUUUAUAACUAAGCUGUGUAAUUAGUUUUUGUUUUUGUCUAUAUUUAAUGUUUAAUGCAUGUACCACAAGAUUCGAUAUGACGGAGAAUCUUGAAAACUUUUUGGUUUUCAGAGUGAACUAAACAAGGCCGUAGUUCUGAAUGUAACAUUUUCGUUUGUUUGUAGUAAAUAUUGUUCAAUUAUAGAUUAAUUAGGAUCAAAAAAUUUGUCUCGCGAUUUACAGGUUGUAAUUAGUUUUUGUUUUCAUUUAUAUAUAAAGCUUUAUGUAUGUUUUUUUUUUUGAGGGAACUGGAGGGGCCGGAGCCCAGCUUUAUGCAUGUGCCGCAAGACUCGAUGCGAUGAGAAUUUUUUGGUUUUUGGGUUGAACUAAACAAGGCCAGAGUAGACCAGACGCUGCUAAUAGAGACGUGAUCACGUGAACGAAGUAGACUCCACGGGUUUACCCCUGGGUUCACACUUCCGUUCCAUUUCAUCACCUGUACUCCAUUCGUGGCCAGAAACCCUUUUUGACGGAUGUGCUCACUCACUGCCUCUUUGAUCUGCGACCGCGACAACUUUAUUAGACGGGACGGGCGAGCUGAUUUCCGUCUCAAAAUCCAAAUCGGCUUUGAGUUUUCUCUAUAUGUAAUCAUGAUCUUUCCUAGCAACCUGUGGUCCUGUUGUUGCUGAAGAUCGAAACAAUAUUUGGAGUAGACUGUGAUUAUAUACCUAUUAGAACAAAUCGAUUUCAUUUUACAUGUCUUAAACUCUUAAUAAUCAAAACAUCUUCGAUGAAAUGGCGCACAUGAAUCUGCAACACAUAAACCCCAAGUCAUUUUCUCUAUUGCAUAGGAAAGAGAAACGGCGACAUGACGCCAAUUUAUUAUGCACCGCAAUUUUCCAAGAAUUGAUAGUAAAUUACAAUUUGCAGUCCUGAUUGUUUUGAGGCCAUGAGAAUGCCACGUCGCGCACUUCCGCUUUCUUAAAGUGAAAAGCGUGAAGAUUUUUUUCGUUACGAUACGACUCUUUUCCUUUUGUCCGCACCAUUGCAAAAUUAUCAGUAGACUGGAAUUACUACAUUGAGUCAUUGACCCAUGGUGCAGUAUGCUGCCACUUGCAACACAAACGCGUGGCGAAAUCGAUGUUUCUGUCUUCUCCAUAUAUGUCCUUGGCUCAUAUAUAUUUCUGAAAUUCAGAUUCAGUGUAGUGAAAUGUACGUACACAGUUAUCCAAAUGUCUUAACGGAUUCCAAUUGACAAGCCUUUCCUCAACAGAUCCAUGUGAGGUGAAAACGUCCCUUCAUUGCUAGUGAGGUGUAGUGGAGACGACGACUCGAUUGCCGACCUGAUACUACUGGUUGUUGCUAUCCUCCUCCUCCAUCCCUGAUGCUUAUCUGCAUUCGGCAGGAGCUUGGCGAGCGACUCGGCGUUAUCUUUUGUUGGCCACCAGCUUUGGUGAAUCUGGCCUCAGUUUGUCCAUGUCAUUCUCACUUUGUUGUUCGUUCCUGCGCCCGCCAAAUGCCAAUGCACGUGCCUCCUAUUCUACCUGCCUGAAGUGAUACACACGUCUUCGGACCUGAACACUUGGGUGCAAAUAAAAGCGCAGGUAGGCCGUCAUGUACUCAUGUCUCGUCAGCUUGGCCAUGUUGCAGCUCCAUGAAAAGAUUAUCGUCGUGCUCGUUGGACCAGGAUUAGUUGAAAAGAUAUCCGUCGACACCACCCAUAUUUCGGACAGCGACACCAGUAAAUAGAUAGGCAAGAAUCUGAAAAUGAAGAAGCGACAGGAUCACAUCAAUGGCAGAUCCAAGUAAAGCAUUCAAAUGGUCAAGGUCAAGAGACACUCAUUCCAACCGUACAUAUAUAACAGGUGUGUCAAAGAGGGUAGAAAAGUUUGCUGCAGCGUUUAUACAGCUGCAUAAGAAUACUUACUGACAAUUACAAACUCAAUAGACUCGUUAUCACUAUCAUUACUGGGCCGGGAGGAAGCUACCUCUGUCACUACAAGCUUCCCCCCAACUCUCAAUAUUCUACUCAUCAUCACAGGUAAAGACAAUACAGAUGCAUAAAAGAGUACGUCCACUGGGGGGAUCAAGAUUAUGCCCAGUUGGUUGACCGUUUGAAGAUGACGCUUUGUGAAUGGGUUGUUCCACAUUAAUGUGUUCAUAGCUGGGGCAACAAAGAGCGGUUUGCUAUAGUCCCACGCUCUCACGAUGCAUGUUAAGAGGUUGUCACAUAACCCACCAGCGAUGUGAACAAAAUAAUCUAGCAUCAGUUUUGUUUUUGUAUAAAGUGAAACUAUUUCACUAUUCACAAAGAGAAAAAGGUACCUUAGCCAUGGUAUUUGCUAAUAAUGGAGCAAUCACCAUAAUAUCUGCCCAUUUACGCAGCUCAAUGUGUAAAACUUCAUAUGCUAUCUUCUUCCAGGUAGACCACUCAUCAUCAUCAGUGUAAAGAACAAUGUCACUUGGUAGAGAUGAUCCAUCAAUAAAGUGCAAAGAUGAUGCGGUGGCCACGGCUCGGACAUCCGCCCACUCAGAGAAACUACGACAAAGGUUCUCAAAUUUUAUAGCAGCUACACUUCCUGAAGCAGCAAGGAGGACCCGAGGCUUACUAGGUUGUGAGUAGUCCAUCGCCAAAAUUCUCUUGCACUGGCUCUGAUGUAGCCAUCAGUUCCGCUUGAAACGCUCAGCUAUAUAUAAUUUGAGCAAGUAAGAGGAUUUGUACAGGUAUAGAAAAACAUGAUUAACAAUGAAAGAUCUGGAGAGAAAUGAAAGAAAAACAAGGAAUGAAUCAUUUCCAAUAAAAAAAGUUACUUCUCCAUCACUCCAUGUGGCCAUGAGUUUUAUUUUUGUAAGGCCGAGGAAUGAUAUGUUUCCAGAUUCUUGACUCUUCUAGUGCUAUGGAAAACCAGUGUUCUAAGUUUCAAGGAUAAGCGCUUUUCUUUAUCCUCUGCUUAUUUACAGUUCGAGAAAGGUAGACAAUGCAAUUACUCUGCAGAACAGUUCAGUGAAACGUAAAAAUCUGAAUUCUCCUGCAAAUUAGAAAUACAUGCACAUACUGUCUCGUGUCUCCUCUUAUAUCUAACGACCAUAGGCUAUACAUAAAUAAGGACAAGGGUUCUAGCACCACUACUGUAUUAUUUCCACGAGCCUAUGCUAUGACUACUGCGAAUGCAUCCAAUACUAAAUAUUCUCAGGAUUUUGAGUUACAGAACAGUACUGCACAUAUCGGUUGAAAGUAAACUAGGAAAGUGAAAUCCAGUUUGUUAUUCGGUCCCUCAACACCAAACCUGCCCAAUUGGUAGAGGCGUGAGCGUGAGGAUACCAGGACAUGAUCCCAACAGAUUAAUUCCGUAGUUGCCUAAACUCCCUACAG